rnacentral:lncRNA from 1 species
GGGAGGAAUCUAUAUUAUAUAGAACUAUGAUCAUGCUUAAUUGACAUAUCUCUUGAUCAUAUCUCUUUCAUUUUGGUACAAAUGCAUAUAUCUUAUUAUUCCCGUACCAUGACUACGACUAAUAUGUUUCCAAGUAUAUUCUAUGCUAAGUCGUAGAUUGAAAAGGAAAUGGAGUCUUCGGCGAAAACAAAGGUUUCCACUCCGUAUAUCAUACUUCGCCAUCACUCCAAGGAACUCUCUAUUCUUCGAGGGAGAAAUGAGCAUCAAAGAAAAGAACUUCGUCUCUGGAAGAGAGUAAGAGCCCAAAGCUAAAGGACCGGACUUCGCCUUUGGUAUAAUCUUAACUCAUUUAUUUAUGCCCAAAGGGGAAGAUAGCACUUCGAGGGCUCUAAUGAUUCCGUUUUUUUGGUGAUUCAUGCCAAAAAGGGGGAGAAAUGAGCCCAAAGCAAAAGGACCGCACCACCACCAAAUUCAAAAACUUAGUGCUUUCCAAAAGUAUUUAUCAUUUGGUAUCCUAUUGUGUUCAAAAAGGGGGAGAAAGGAGUAUUUCAAAAAUGGUAUAUCAAAACCCUCUUGAACAACUAAGAGGUGGAUCGCUUUUAGGGGGAGUUUUGUUAAGUCAAAAGAAAAGCAUUUGAAACAGGGGGAGAAAAUUUAAAAUCUUGAAAAUGCUUUACAAACUCUUGUUCAUUUACCUUUGACUAUUUGCAAAAGAUCUUUGAAAUGGAUUUACAAAAAGAAUUUGCAAAAACAAAACAUGUGGUGCAAGCGUGGUCCAAAAUACUAAAUAAAAUAAAGAAAGAAAGCAUCCGUGCAUAUUUUAUGAAUAUUGGCUUAAUUCCAAGUAAUCUUUGCACCUAUUCUAUGCAAACUAGUUCAAUUAUUCUCUUAUAUAUUUGCUUUGGUUUGUGUUGGCAUCAAUCACCAAAAAGGGGGAGAUUGAAAGGGAAAUAGGCUUUAAACCUUUUCCUAAAUGAUUUUGGUGAUUGAAUGUCCAACACAAACAAUUGGACUAAUUAGUUUGCUCUAGAUUAUAUGUUCUACAGGUGCCAAAGAUUCAACAUAAAACCAAUAAAAAGAACAAGACAAGAGUCAAAAUAAAGGAGCAAAGGGGCAACCGAGGGCACCCCUGGUCUGGCGCACCGGACUGUCCGGUGUGCCACCGGACAGUAAACAGUACCUGUCCGGUGCACCAGGGAACGCUGACUCCAACUCUUCAUUCUCGGGAAUUCUCGGAAGCCGGCGCGCUAUAAUUCACCGGACUGUCCGGUGUACACCGGACAGUGUCCGGUGCUCCAACGGAACGCGGCCUCAGGAACUCGACAGCCUCGGGAUUUCACGAAGGCUGCUCCGCUAAAAUUCACCGGACUGUCCGGUGUGCACCGGACUGUCCGGUGUGCUAGCGGAGCAACGGUCAUCUUCGCGCCAACGGUCGACUCUGACGGUAUACAGUGCAGAACAGUACACGCGGCAGAAGUCAGAGCAGAGGAUCAGAGAGGCACCGGACUGUCCGGUGUGCACCGGACUGUCCGGUGCCACAUGAGGACAAAAGCCUCCAACGGUCGACCAGCUCCAACCCCAACGGAUAGGAUGACGUGGCUGGGGCACCGGACAUGUCCGGUGUGCACCGGACUGUCCGGUGCGCCCAUCGCCAGCAGACUUCAUCAACGGCUAGUUUUUGGAUGGUGGCUAUAAAUACCACCCCAACCGGCCACUUCAAGGUGGGGGAGUCCAAGCAACAUUCCAAGUCAUCUAGUUGACAUACUCAAGCCCUCCCAACCACCUAUAUUCAUUGAUCCAUCCUAUACACAAGAUUUAGUCCACUACAACCAACACAAGUGCCACAAAAGAGAGAGCAAGCAAUUGAGAGCUACUCAAUUGAGUUUAGCCCUAGCGCCUUGUGAGAUUCAUUGAGAGAUAGUGUGUGCUACAUCUUUGUGUUCACUUGCGCGUGGAGUUUUUGACUCCCAUUCGAACUUCCUCCAAAGUGUUGGAGGCUUGUAAAAGCUAGCAAGAGACACCAAAGAUUGUGGUGGUCCUUGUGGGAUCGAGAGUGAUCCUUGAGAAGAAGAAGAGCUCGCCGAUCCUUGUGUGAUCGGGAGAGAGGGAAAGGGUUGAAAAAGACCUGUCCUUAAGUGGACUCCUCAACGGGGACUAGGCCUUCGAGGGCCGAACCUCGGUAAAACAAAUCACCCGUGUUCAUUGUGCUUUUGCUUGUGAUUUGUUUGCUUUCCCUUACUCUAAGUUCUCUUGCACUAUUCUUUGCUCAUAUCAUUUGGUGUUGCUUCAAGUUAAAAUAUCAUUUAAGUGAAGCAACACUCCGCAAGAAAAGAACUUGAGUUAGUGCCCUUUUUCAUCUAAGCUUUCUUGCUUUGUUAUCAUAGAAUUAUUAGUUGUAUUGAUUUAUCACUUCCGCAUUAUUUGAAAGCUAUACUCUUUACUAGCAAGAACUUAGUUUUUAUACUUCAAUAAUUGUUCAUCUUGUUCUAACCACUAAUCAAAGGAUCUAGUUGGGGGAUAAAGUUUUAAUUUUCAGGUUUCGCCUAUCCACCCCCCCUCUAGGCGACUUUCAAUACCUCCUUGAGUGCUUUGUCUGGUGCCAUACUGAACACAUCCGGUGAGUACUCAAUCUCUUACACUCAGUUUGCAACCUCUCUAGGUGCCUUGUCUGGUGCUAUAGUGUACACGUUCGUCGAGUGUAUGGUUCAAACACUCAUUUGUAUAACUUUUUGGGUGCCUGUCUGGUGUACCAUAUCCAGUGCACAUCACACAUGCUAGUGAUAAACCAAAUCUAAACAUGGUUGCCCUCUAUUUGAUGGCACAUAAGCUUCUAGUGUACCACUAACUCACUUGUUUCAAAUGCCUUUUGAUAUUUAAUUACUUAUUACCUUGAUGUAAACAUGAGUUUUUUAGUUCUCUCUUUAGGUGGGCUUGACAUACUAUCAAGUUUAACUUAGUCUCUGUCAAAUUGCUGACAAAUGCACUUGGAAUUAGAUUAAAUUAGACAAUUUUGCUAUACGUAGGCUUGGGGAUAACAAGAUAGGCUAAGCAUUCCCGAUCGCAUAAAAAUGAUUGUCUGAUGGUCAUAUAUUGAAUGUCAGUAAGGUCAGCAAAAUAGAAAUUGUUUGUUCAAGAUCUUGCGGCUUCAUUACAAUAUGUGUUAUAUGUUGUAGUUAUUGUAACAUGACUACAACAUCUUGUGUAAUUAUUUUAGAAAGAUGAUUUUAAAUAGCAAGAGGAUUUCUCCCCUAUAGAUUCCCUCUAUUUCUAUGAUCACCAAACUAGCUCUUAGGGUCAAUGUCCCUCCUUUAUUGCACACUCAGGUACUAAUGGGAGAAAGGAGGUUGGUCAAAGGACAAUAUGGUCUUUUUCAUAUGCUUUAAUGUUGCCGAUCAUUUUUAAUCUCUGAAAUAAAACAUGGUAGAGACUAAAAUUUAGUCACAGUUUCUUAAGAUCAAGAAACCAAACAUGUCUUAGGUGGAUGUGCAAUACUAAUACACGAGCAAUCUAGGCCGUCCGAUGGAGAUGGAAGGAAGAUCUGCGUCGAUCACGGCGGUGGAUGUGUGCCACUGCCACGUGCACUUGUCCUCUCAUCGGGGCCGUCCAUUUGCCCGGGCCCCGCUGACGUCAUAGAGACCCCCACAUGCAGCUAUCCUGGAAGCGCCACUGCGCCAGCAUGGGGAGGGCCCACACUAGCAGCGUCGCGUCUCUUUCUCUUCUAACGUUCAAAUAUUCAAACGAGGAGCGGAUGGACAGAGGGGACGGAGGCUGGAUGAGGCACUAGACCACUAGUGCACUACGGAAACGCGAGAGAAGAGGCAGACGGCGGCGGCGGCCAUGGAUUUCCACUCCCUCUCCCGGCGAGAACUUCAGGCGCUCUGCAAGAGCAACGGCAUCCGUGCCAACAUGUCCAACGCGGCCAUGGCGGAAGCGCUUAGGUGCCUCCCCGCGGUGAGCCUAUCCUCGAUCGAUCCCCUUCCUUUCCUCCUGAGGGUGAAUUGAAUCUCUGCAUUUGGGCCGGGGGUGGCAACUGGGGAGGUUGAUUUGAUGUUGUUUGCUGUGUUGAUUAGGUGGACAGGAUCGACGAGAUCGGGAGCACGGCGCCACCGCCGGUAUCGGCGAUGAAGGAACAGACGCCGGAUGCGGAAGAGGCGGUCGGAGGGGAGCAGGAGCACGGGUGCCCGCUCCCUCGCGGCGGCCGUGCACGGGGGAAGAGAAGGAAGGCCGGGGCACGGAAGAGUAAGACGGAGGGGGAUGAGGAGGAGGUGAUGGUGCCGGGCCCACAGACCUUGCCGGGACCCAAGAUGACGGUGGCACGGGAGGCUGCUGCGGCACCUGUGGAUGAUGCGGAAGAGGCGGCCGUAGGAAUUAGGACGAGAAGGUCAGCGAGAUCCAAGGUGAAGGUCGCGCUGGAUCAGAAAGAGGAGGACGUACAAGCGGCGGCAGCCCGGAAGGAGCAGAAAGGUAACAACAAGUUCACGCUUCACCUGUGUAAUAGCUUGCAUUGAUUGGUUGAUUUCCUGUAAUUUGCCUGUAAGAGUCCUGCAUUCAACAUUAUUUGAAAGUUUAAUUUGUCUAAUGUUGGCCACCAGUCCCUUACGCUAAUUUCUGAACAUGCAACUGAUUAUUCCGAUGCGGCCAUUGGGUUUGCGGUAGUUUCAGAUAAGAGCUGCGAGGAUUCAGAAGAGCAUGCAAUAGUAGUAGGUGUGGUGGAGGAAGAAGAGGUCAGAAAGCCACAGGAAGGUCAAAACGUGACGAGGAGAGCCGCGCCAUAUAAGACACAUGAGGAUUUGCAGCCGGAUCAGAGGACGGCGGAAGAGUUGUCCAUGGCAAAGAAAAGGACGAGAAGGUCCACAAGAUCCAAGGUAGCAGCGGCAGCACAGAAGGGGCAGAAAGGUGAGGUCCACAAGUUCUCACCUCCCCUGUUUAACUCGGAUUGUUAGUUCUGAUUUUGAUGCUGAAUUAUUAGUAUAAUUUGAAAUUGUAGACUUGAUAUUGUUCGUGAACUAUAUCUGCUAAUUUCUGAAUGUGCAGCUGAUUCUUCUGACACAACCGUUGGACCUGAAAUUGAUCCUAAAUAUGAUGAAGUUGUUCCCAAGGUGGAGGAGGCCACAAAACCACAGGAAGGCAAGAAUGUCACUAAGAGGGCUACAGCUUAUAUUUACAAGGCACACGAGGAGGUGCAGACAGGCCAGGUGACAGCGGCACCCGAAGCUACGGCAGAAGAAGUGGCCACGACAAAGAGAAGGAGGAGGAGGUCAACAAGAUCCAAGGUGGGGGCGGCAGCACGGAAGGCUCAGAAAGGUGAGUUCGAAUUUUCGCUUCUCCUGUUUAACUCGUGUAUCCUUUUUUAUUCCUUUGGUUGCUGCUAUUCGAAUUGUAUAUAUCGUGCAGUCACUGAUGGUGAUAGUUUCAGAAUGUGCGGCUGAUACUUCUGAUGCAGUCAACGGGUCUACAGUAAGUGAUGAUCCUAAGGAAGAGCAAGUGGUUGAGGUGAUAGAGGAAGGGACAACAAAGCACAAUGAAGGUGAGAUGCCUCACUGGUCAGGCGGUGAUAGUUUGCACUUUGUCUCUGUCUCUCUCUCUCUAUCUCCCAACUUUCUGAUUUCCUGAACUAUGUGCUUUAGUGAACCUUUCUGUCAACUAAUUGCACAUCUUUAACUUUAAUGCAUCUUUGCCAUAAACCACAGAAGAACGAGAGCAAAUUAACAACGUUCGGCAGUUUGCUUCCUUGCCAAAACUGGAGGACUCACCAAUCCUUGGCAUCGUGUCCAAGCCCAAUACAGCAGAUGCUUCAGACAAGGCACCGGUUGCACAUCAGGAGGCUAGCAAGGAAGAUCGUUUCACUUUCACUGGUGAGGCUGAUGUGUCCAAUCUUCUUGUCAACACACUUGACAGAUUUGCAAAGCCUGUGUAUGAGUCCAGAGUCAAAGAGGAGAAGAAAUGCAGUGAGUGUUGGUGGAUGCUUCUAUAAUUUACAAGAGGUGUAGGACCAGGUCCAGUCAGAACUGCCAAAAGUAUCAAAUUACAUGAGAUCAUGUAAUGUGUGGGUCAAAAACUCUAGAAUCAGGAUUGGAGAGAUGGUUUAAGACACGAAUCUAAGCAAAGAAAAGGAAAAGGAAAGAAUCCUGAGAGUGUAAACAGAUGGUUUAUACUGGAGCAUGAGGCAGACAUGUAAGGCCACUGUGGACACCACCUCCGGCAUGGUUUACAUGAUAUUAAUUGACACCACCUCCGGCAUGGUCUUCGCCAUGAGGUCUGACAUUGUUUUGAAUGAAGUGGACAGUUUGUCUAGCUAAUUAAAAGUAAAAUUUUCUUGAAGUUGUCCAGGAUGCCCAUACGCUGGCAUGAUUGAGUUUUCCAUAAUGAUAUUUCUUUGCCACUGUUGACGCCUUUUGGAGCGCCAAAUACUCAAGCCGGCGGCGGUGCUCUCUGGUCAGGCGCGGACGGUCCGCGGCCUGGGGCCGGACGGUUCGCGACCUGGCGCGAGGCGGCGGUGCUCUCUGGUCAAGCGCGGACGGUCCGCGGCAAGGGGCCGGACGGUCCGCGACCUGGUGCAGGAGCUCGGGUUCUCUGCCUGACGAGCGGACGGUCCGCGCUCUAGGGCCGAACGGUCCGCGCGUACGCAGGGGCGGUGGAGGAUCGCCGGCGGCGCCUGGAUCUCGCUCCCGGGAGGGACCCCGUCGGGGAGGAGAGAUCCUAGGUGGUGUCCAGGCUCGGGUAGACCGACCUAGACUCCUCUAAUCGACGUAGAGUCGAGGAGAGGCGGAGAAUUUGGGGAUUGAGAGGCUAAACCUAAACUAGACUAGAACUACUCCUAGGAUAAAAUGCGAAUAAAAGUUGUAUUGAUUCGAUUGUUGAUGAUUACAAAUCGGUCGUAGACCUCUCUAUUUAUAGAGGAGGGGGGCUGGACCCUUUACACAACUGAUUCCGAGCUAAUCCCGCGAAUAUAGCUAACAACCGUAGCACAAAACUCGGAACCCUAAUCUGUUCUGCGCACGCGCGGACAGUCCGGCCCACAGGCGCGGACCGUCCGGACCGCGGACCGUCCGGCCUCAGGGCCGGACAGUCCGCCGGCUCAUUUCUGGUUCGAACAUAUGCCCCCCUGCCUUUUGGUGGAGCUGGGCGAACCAAAAGCAAUCUAACUCGAUGUGAUCACAUCGGUUUUCUUAGGCAUCUUGCCACAUACUAGGAUGAUACUGUUUGAGGAAACUCCCAUUCAAAGCCUUAGGUAAAUCCUUGCCUUGUAAUGUUUGUAGUAAAUAAGUGUUACCAGACAUCACCUGUUUCACUUUAUAAGGACCCUCCCAGCUUGGCGACCAUUUCCCGAACUUUCGGUCUUUAUUCCUUAGAGGUAGAAUGGUCUUCCACACCAAGUCUCCUACUUGGAAUGAUUUUGCUUUGACCUUCUUGUUGUAGGCCCUGGCUACCAUGAUCUUGUCCUUUUCUAUUGCUCCCAAAGCUAUCAUUCUUUUGUCGGUCACCUCAUCAAUAUUAUCCAUCAUUGAAUUAUAAUAAUCAGUAGCAGUUAGAUCAUUUUGUCUGGCAAACCUGACAGCAUUCAAACUUAUUUCCACAGGUAACACUGCUUCCUGCCCAUAGACAAGCUCAAAAGGAGAUACUUUAGUAGCACUAUGUUUAGAUACUCUAUGAGCCCAUAAAGCUCCAGACAAAAUCUUAUGCCAAUGUUUAGGAUUGUCAGAUACCUUCUUCUUUAUUAAAUUAAUCAACGUCCUAUUACUAGACUCGGCCUGUCCAUUGGCCUGAGCAUAAUAUAGAGACGAAUUAAGCAGCUUAAUUCUGUAUAAUUCAGCAAAUUCACGUACCUCCUUUGACAUAAAAGAAGUACCUUGAUCUGUAGUCAAGGUCUGGGGAAUGCCGAAUCUAUGAAUAAUAUGCUCAGUUAUGAACUCAAUUACCUCCUUGUGCGUCAUGUUCUUUAGAGCAACGGCUUCAAUCCAUUUGGUGAAAUAGUCAGUGGCAACUAACACAAACCGAUGCCCCUUUGAUGAUGAAGGAUGAAUUUCUCCAAUAAAGUCUAAUCCCCAUCCUCUGAAUGGCCAAGGCUUGAUGAUAGGAUGUAAUUCGGCUGCAGGGACCAACUGUAGGUCACCGAAUUUUUGACACACUUGGCACCCCUUGUAGUAUUUGAAACAAUCAGCUGUCAUACUAGGCCAAUAAAAACCAGACCUUCGCAACAACCACUUCAUCUUUGGAGCUGAUUGAUGGGUACCACAAAUUCCUUCAUGUACUUCGGCCAUGGCUAAUAUAGCAUCAUCUGGGCCCAAGCACUUAAGGAGGACAUCAUUAACCGUUCGGCGGUAAAGUUCAUCACUCAUCAAAACAUACUUGAAAGCUGUUCGCCGAAUGUUCUUAUCUGUCCUGAUAUUGGGAUUUUGCAAAUAAUUAAGUAUAGGUGUCCUCCAAUCACUUGCCUCGGCUUCAUUGUCAGCCGAAUCGAUUAAGAGAACAUUUCUGGUAACCUCGGACGGUCCGGCGUCAUCACGCGGACGGUCCGCGACCUGUGAAUUUGGCUCUGCACUGAUUAUCAGAUUUUCAGUUUUGUGAAAUUUCCCUCUCUUUAUCCGAUAACCUGAUGCAUCUUGUGCCAAAUUGUUAGCUCUAUGAUUCUCAACUCUAGAGAUAUGCCGAAUACUGAAUUCGUCAAAAGAAUGGAUUAUGCUCCAACAUUUCUCAAGAUAACUAUUUAGAGUACCAUCAAGACAUUGAUAUUCUUCUAACACUUGUUGGACAACCAGCUGAGAAUCACCAAAUACCUUCACAUGUUUUACUUCCAUACCAUUUAAAAGUUCUAAACCGAAUAGGAGGGCCUCAUAUUCAGCUUGAUUAUUAGUGCAAUAAGUUUUCAAUCGGCUAGAGAAGUCAAAGGAGACAUUACUUGGUGAAACAAGCACAAUGCCAAUUCCUUGCCCUUCAUUGCAAACCGAUCCAUCAAAAUAUAAAGUCCAAGGAGUAAUAGUGAGGUAUGAUAUGUCUAGUUCAUGAAUAUCAUUAACCCGAUGUUCUACAAUAAAAUCCGCUACAACUUGGCCUUUCAUAGAUUUCAAUGGUUCAUAAGCCAAGUCAUAUUCUAUGAGUGCAUAAGCCGACUUACCAAUUCUACCACUCAUAAUUGGGUUAUGCAACAUGUACUUGAUUACAUCGGCUUGACCAGAAACAGUGCAAUGACUAGACAGUAAAUAACAUCUACAUUUGGUGCAUGCAUAAAACAAGCAUAAGCAUAACUUUUCAAUAAAAGUGUACCUUGUUUCAGCAUCCACCAACCUUCGGCUUAGAUAUGUCACCACAUGCUCCUUCCCCUCAGUUUCUUGUGUCAGAACAGCCCCAAUAACCUUGUCUUCAGCUGCAAUGUAUAAUCUGAAUGGUGCUCCUACUUGUGGUGCUUUUAACACGGGAGCCGAAGACAAGUAUUUUUUAAUGAGAUCAAAUGCUUCCUACUGCUCUGCCCCCCAAGUGAAUUUAGCAUCAUUCUUAAGCCGAAGGAUAGGGGUGAAGGCAUCAAUCUUCCCGGCUAAGUUAGAAAUAAACCUUCGUAAAUAAUUCACCUUGCCGAGAAACCUCUGCACUUCGACCUUACACGUCGGAGGCCCCACAUUCCGAAUAGACUUGAUUCGGUCAGGGUCUAUUUCUAUACCAUGUUCAUGGAUGACAAAUCCUAAAAACUUACCAGCUGACACUCCAAAAGCACAUUUACGUGGGUUCAUUUUUAAACCAUACCGACGCAUUUUAUCAAAGGCUUUGCGCAAAUCAGCUAUAUGAGAACUAAACUCAGCCGAUUUGACUACAAUAUCAUCAAUGUAGACUUCCACAGUGUUUCCUAACAACUCAUGGAAGAUCAGAUUCAUAGCCCUCUGAUAAGUAGCACCAGCAUUUUUAAGACCGAAUGUCAUGACAACCCAUUCAAAUAAACCAAUGAAGCCUGGACAUAUAAAGGCUGUUUUAGACGCAUCUUCUUCGGCCAUGAAAAUCUGAUUAUAUCCGGCAUUACCAUCAAGGAAGCUAAUAAUUCUAUUCCCUGAUGCAUUAUUGAUUAAUGUGUCGGCUAUGGGCAUGGGAUAUUCAUCUUUAGGAGUUGCUUUAUUUAAAUUACGAAAAUCAAUGCAUACUCUAAGCUUACCUGACUCCUUAUUCUCCACCGGCACAAUAUUGGAGACCCACUCUGCGUAUCUGCAAGGUCUAAUAAAAUUAGCUUCUAGCAGCCGGUGGAUUUCGUCCUUGAUUCAUGGGAGAAGAUCUGGACGAAAUGUUCUAGCUUUCUGCUUGAAAGGUCUGAAACCAGGCUUAAUAGGCAGCCGAUGUUCGAUAAUUUCUCGGCUUAGUCCAGGCAUUUCAGUGUAAUUCCAAGCAAAACAAUCUGAAUAUUCCUUCAAUAGACCGAUCAUCUCAUUUCUAGAAUCGGUCUCCAGGGUCUUGUUUACAAAAGUCGGCCUUGGAGUUUUACCAUCUCCUAUGUCAAUCUCCUCCCAAGGAUCGGCCGAUGUAAACCCCUGUCCUAGUUUAUCAAGAUCUCUGAAUUCCUCUAUCAUGUCCCCCACAGAGGAAUCAGAUGAUCUUUGUGUGAUGGCGGACUUUCCGGUCUCGGGGACCGGAUCAUCCGUAAUACUGUCUUCUCGCUGUGGUAGAUGUUCGGUUUUAAAGUCCGAACUCUUUUGUGAGAGACCAGACCAUCCGGCCUUGGCGGCCGAACUGUCCGUGACCAAAGACUCAUGAACUUUGUGUGUAUUCAUCAUUUAACUUUAUUUAGGAUUUAGCCAAUUCUCCAUCGGCUCUAGCAUUACAGGAAUGAAACCUUUCUUAUCUAUACUUAUGAAUUGAUAAUCAGAAAAGUCUACUCCUGUGAGACAUGUAGCAGUCUCAUAAGUCCAGAGUACAGGGGCAUCGGCCACAGCGAUGCAGGCCGAUACAUCAGCAUGUACUUGUUCUAUGUCAUCGCCUACCCAUUGUAUCAACAUUUGAUGUAAUGUAGAAGGUAUACAUUGAUUGACGUGAAUCCAAUCUCUGCCUAGGAUUAAACUGUAAUUUCCUUCUACAUCAGCGACGAAGAAUGCAGCAGCAAGGGUCUUAGUCCCGAUGGUUAAUUCAACGGACGUGACUCCCCUGGCUUUGAUCGAACUAUCAGUUCCAACACCGCUAAGGGUCAUGUUGGUCUUGACAAGUUCGUCAUCUUGUUUACCUAAUUUUCUGUAUAAUGAAUAAGACAUUAGAUUUACAGCCGCCCCUCCAUCUACCAACAUCUUAGCAAUCGGUAUCCCAUCAUUGUGGCCGCGCACGAAGAGCGGCUUUAAAUGAUUUACCGAUUCUUUUGGUUUAGUAAAGGCGGCUUCUUUAGGACCAAAAUCAAACUGGGCAACAACAGGUUCAUCGUCGCCGAUAAUAGUACAAUCGGCAGAAAAUAUAAUAAUAUUUACAUCCAUACCUGGGUGUUCUGGAGAAGCCUCGUAGUCGACCAGGUCUUCUCCCAGCAGGUCGUCCUCUUCCAUUGAGGUUGUCGUGUCGUUGGUGGCUUCCUGGUGAACGGCGGACGGUCCGCGUGCGGUGGCCGGACGGUCCGCACCUGGUGCAGGUUGUCCAGAGACUUCCUGGUGAACGGCGGACGGUCCGCGCGUAGGGGCCGGACGGUCCGCGCCUGGUGCAGAUUGACUUUCUAUUUCUGUGUCCGUUUGUUUUUUCUCAACGGCCUUCGGUCUCCAUUUCUUUUGCGGUGGCGGGUAUAGUGGAUGUGUGUCAUUAAAUGUCUUUUCCGCCUCCUUCUUCUGGCUCUCCUUUGCCCUUAGGCGCUGUAAUUUUCUCUUUUGGGAUCGUGUCAAUCCCGCUGGGCACCAUCGAGGCAUGGAGUAUUUUGGAUCGGCUGUUUUGAUGGUAGCCGUAUCCUUUUCGGUUGUGUUGGCCGAUUCGCCGAAAAUCAUCGGCCUUUUAUUGUCUCCCUGUAUGACAACAUCUGCGGUGCCUAUUUUGAUGAUGUCCUUUUUUGUUGUUUUUUGAGUUGCUGCAGGCAUAUGCCCCCCUGCCAGAUUGGUCGGCCUGGAAGGCCGAGUAGUCCGGCAAUCCUGUUGGGUUUGUGCCUGGUGACCGGAUUGAGCAGUGCUCAAUCGGUCUUGAACUGGUGGCGUCAACCUGUCAAAAACAGAUGUUUGGGGUGCCCCCCAGGCGGGGUACUGUGGCAUCCCAAAUGGAUAUGGUGGCAUGCCCCACAUUUGAUUUGGGACAUAUGGUGGAGGUAAGUAUGUGUAUGGAUAUGGCAUAGAUGGAUAAGAGGGUGGAGGUGUCCAUGUCGGCAUGUUAGGUCUCAAUUGUACAAUAGGACCUUUCAUUUCAUCCGAUUGGUGAGGUGGUCCAAUCGGCCUGACCUGACGUUGCUCAUGAAUGGGUGAGCGAGGUCGCUUUGGUGGCCGGUCACUAGGGCCGGCCUUCUUUUUCACGUAUUUAGACAACAAUUGAUCGAAAGUCGGGCCAGGCUUGAUCAACCGACCAGCUGCUUUAAAUGUAUUUGUUUUCCACGUACCUAUCUCAGGUCGUCGUGGUUUGAAGGUACGCGGUCGCUGCGGGUCCUGAGCACGGCCGGACCGUCCGCCAGAGUCCUCCGGACCGUCCGGCGAAGCGUCGGACCGUCCGCGUCUGGACGACGGACUGUCCGUGAUACGCAGCACGGGUUCCCGCAACUGUCUUCCCGUCUGCGCUUGCCCCCCAGUGCUAGAGGCUGUGAUAGUCACCUUCAGGGUCUCCCCUCCAUCGGGAGUCUUCUCGGCCACCACUUUCCUGCAAGAAGCUUUACAAUCCCCAUCGACCUUUUUAGCAUUGCCGAUGAUUGUUUCCUUGCCUUUGCCUUUAUCGGCUGUGUUUGGCCGAACUAGGACUUUCUUGCCCUCGAAAUCAAUCAUGUUCAUAGGAAAGGGCUCUGUAUCCACCUGAAUUUCCUGAAAUUUCAAUCGUCCCUCGUUAAUGGCCGAUUGAAUCUGUCGCCUAAAUACAUUACAAUCAUUAGUGGCAUGAGAAAAUGAAUUAUGCCACUUGCAGUAUGCGCGACGUUUUAGCUCGUCGGCAGAUGGAACAGUGUGAUUUAUUUUAAUGUUGCCAUUUUUUAGUAAUUCAUCAAAUAUUUUAUCACACUUGCCAACAUUAAACGUAAACUUAACCUCCUCUUGCCGUUUCUUUUGAACCGGCUGUAAGGAGGAACAAACCGAAGAUUUGGCCUGUUUUGGCCAAACCAUUUCAGCAGCGUACACUUCCGCUGAUUCGUCAUCCGAGCUACUUUGGUCGCAUUCUACUAUGUGUACGUUGUGACGCAUUGUUUUAGUAGUUUCUUUGCUCCGGCUUUCGCAAGCCAAAGCCCUCUGGUGUAACUGUGCUAGUGUAAAAAAUUGGAUGCCUUCUAAUCUUUCUUUUAAAUAAUAUCGCAGACCAUUAAAGGCUAAUCCUACUAGCUGUUUUUCUGCUAAAUGAAUUUAAAAGCAUCGGUUUCUUGUAUCGCGGAAUCUUCGGAUGUAAUCAUUAACCGAUUCGUCCUUUGUUUGUCGUAAUGACACUAAAUCUACCAAAUCCAACUCAUAGUCACCGGAGAAAAAAUGAUCAUGAAAUUUUUGUUCUAGAUCCCCCCACGAUAAAAUGGAAUUAGGAGGUAAAGUGGCAUACCAGGCAAACGCGGUUCCUGUUAGAGAUAAUGAAAAUAAGCGUACGCGAAAUGCCUCUGUGUCGGCCAAUUCUCCCAAUUGUGCUAAGAACUGGCCUAUAUGUUCACGCGUGUUUUUCCCUUGAUCACCCGAAAAUUUUGCGAAUUCGGGUAUUCUAGUUCCCUAUGGGUACGGGUGGUGAUCAAAUCGGCUGUCAUAAGGUUUCCGAUAUGAUUGCCCCCCAAGGAUCAUGCUUACUCCGAGCUUAUCUCGGAACGCCCCGGCUAUUUCUUCCCUUACUAUAUCAAUGGCAGCCGGUGCAAGACCACCGGCUCUCUGGUCAAACAUAGGUGGGGUUGGUUGCAUGUUAGUAUGUUGUCGUUCCCCCCAUUGGUUUGAGCUACGUGGUGCAUUUCCAUUUGCCCUAUAUGGCUCAUAGGUUUGAUCGUUUCUUUCCGGCCUUCUAGGUGGGGCCGGAAAGCUUUCCUGGGCUCUGGAUCCUGAAUUAAUGGGCUGGUGCAUUGCAUAGUGUGAUGGGAAGUGUUGCUGGGACGAGCGAGGAUUCAGGUGAUAAUCCUCCUCAAAAGACUCAUGCGCGGACUGUCCGGCUAUGUACCCGGACCGUCCGUGAUUAUAUGCGGACCGUCCAUCGUUGUAUGCGGACCGUCCGACUGGGUAGUUUGGGUUCUGUGCCGUGUGUGGUGGCUCGGGCGCAUAUCUAGGUAACUCAUUAAAAAUAGGCUCGACUGUUGCUGGCCCGGACGGUCCGCGCUCACGUGCGGACGGUCCGGGCAUGUGCAGAUCGGCUGGUUUGCUGCCGAUUUGCGGUUGCUUAGGGUAUGUGUCCAUCGGCAUCCCAUAAAGGGGUUGUGACUGGUCAUGACAACUUGUAGCCGAUGUGUUACACGCGUUAUCUCCUAACUCAACCUCGUGCGAAGGAAAAUUUGCGGUACUAGAUUUAUCAAAUGCACGUACUAGUCUCUUAAGAUCGCUUUGCAUACCCCCUAUGAUGUUCUGCAUUUGUUCACGCUGAUCUUCUACAUAAUUUCUAAGAGAUUGCAGAUCGUUGGUAUUACUUACAUUGGGGAUAUCUGGCGUGGGUUGGAGCAAAGCCGGAUCCGUCGCCCGAUGUCGGACGACCUUGUUGUUCCUGUCCACUUUGAAGUUGGCCAAGAACUUUGCUUUCGCCUCCUGGAUCAUCCGCUCCUUGUGCUCCUCAAACUGGAGCUGCUCGUCCGCCGGCAAGGUUUCCCAAGUCGGCUCUAUGAUGUUGCUUGGAGAAAUAUCAGAGCUAUCCCUUGAACCGGCCAUUGAGGGCCGAUUUGAUAAGCUUAGAUAUGUUUUCCCCAGCGGAGUCGCCAAAAAGUAUGUUGACGCCUUUUGGAGCGCCAAAUACUCAAGAAGAACCGGCGGCGGUGCUCUCUGGUCAGGCGCGGACGGUCAGCGGCCUGGGGCCGGACGGUCCGCGACCUGGCGCGAGGCGGCGGUGCUCUCUGGUCAAGCGCGGACGGUCCGCGGCACGGGGCCGGACGGUCCGUGGCACGGGGCCGGACGGUCCGCGACCUGGUGCAGGAGCUCGGGUUCCCUGCCUGACGACCGGACGGUCCGCGCCCUAGGGCCGGACGGUCCGCGCGUACGCAGGGGCGGCGGAGGAUCGCCGGCGGCGCCUGGAUCUCGCUCCCGGGAGGGACCCCGUCGGGGAGGAGAGAUCCUAGGUGGUGUCCAGGCUCGGGUAGACCGACCUAGACUCCUCUAAUCGACGUAGAGUCGAGGAGAGGCGGAGAAUUUGGGGAUUGAGAGGCUAAACCUAAACUAGACUAGAACUACUCCUAGGAUAAAAUGCGAAUAAAAGUUGUAUUGAUUCGAUUGUUGAUGAUUACAAAUCGGCCGUAGACCUCUCUAUUUAUAGAGGAGGGGGGCUGGACCCUUUACACAACUGAUUCCGAGCUAAUCCCGCGAAUAUAGCUAACAACCGUAGCAUAAAACUCGGAACCCUAAUCUGUUCUGCGCACGCGCGGACAGUCCGGCCCACAGGUGCGGACCGUCCGGACCGCGGACCGUCCGGCCUCAGGGCCGGACAGUCCGCCGGCUCAUUUCUGGUUCGAACAGCCACCAUAUCAGUCUGCCAAUCAGCACAAGUUAUAAGAAAAACAGCCCAUUAAGGAUUGUUUGGAAGCAAGAAUACCAAAAGGGGUUAGAGUAGCUAAAAUUCUUUUAAUAUUCAAAAUUGAAUAGUAAAGAGAUUUUAGCCCCUCCAAUUUCUUUCGGAGUCUUUGCUCCCAAACAAGCUCUUAAUAAGCAGAGAGAAAAACGUGAGAUUUUCCAACAACCAUCAAAUCGCCUGUGCUAUAUCGUAACAAUUCAUAAAUGGACAUGUCUUUUGUUCUCGAUUUGCUAUUAUGUGCGUCCAUACAAAAUGACACGGCGCAUGAACAUAUACGCUCUCUCGAGGAGGAAAAAAAAAGGUUAGACUAACUCAUCAGCAUAUGUUAACUUCAGUCCAGUUUCUCCUCACUGGUAGCAUAUGUUAACUUCAGUCCAUAUAGCCAGAUAUAUGUAACCUUCAAAGCUACCCCAGCUCCAUUUGAAAAAAGAAUGGACAACUGUCCAAAGCAGCAAAAUGUCAGCUGCAUUUCUCCUACUCCCGGGACCUGUCAAAGAAAGAUGAAGAUUCACCCAGACGGUAAUAAUCGAUAAUUACCAAAGAUCCAGUGGUGCUAAACUAGGGGCAAAUUUUAAAAGUACGGCUACCUCUUCAAAGACGAUCCAGAGCUUUUACCAUUCUCUUCAGAAAGAUGCACUUUGUUAUCAUCUUGGCUAUUGCCUUCAUCAUCUGAAAUCGCAUCUAUGGAGUUUGUAGACCCUGCUCUAUUCAGGCUGGCAAAUCUUCUAGGAAGAAAAACGUUGUAGCAAUACUUAGCCAAGUCUGUUGUUCUCUCUGAGCUAAACUGCUUCAAGGCAACCUCCAUGAAGUCUUCAAUAGUACUCUUACUCUGAGGAAUCAACUUCUCAAAAUCAGCAAGUUUUUUCUUGUCUUCUGCAGUCCAUAACUUCAGAACUCGCUCACCCAUCGCACCAAACCCACAGUUUUUGAAAGCCUGCUCACCCAAUUGAUACUUGACCCUCUUCCAGGCCUCUUUUACAUUAACUUCUACGUAGGCCUCAGAUCCAGGAUGAUAGCAUUUACACAUGUCAUUCACUGCUUUCCUUGCCUUCGGUGGCUCCAAAGUGGGUGGCAGCCUGACCACUGUGCCCAUCCUUUGCAAGGUAUCAUUAUCAUUUCUGUAGUUAGCCUUACAUUCCUCAGAUGGGUCAUUAAUCCACUCAGGGACAGCAGCUUGACAUCUGACAGGGUCUAUUCCAAUAUGUUUCUUUGUGCUUAUUUGUGGUUUCUUUUUUGUUUCUGUUAGCAUCCAGAAAUGAAUUAGAUAAUGAUUUGAACAAAACUUUAAAAUGGUAGAUGAAAAGUUGGGAGGCACCAAACAGUAAUAACAACAAAUAUUUAUCAAGACUGACACUGGAAACGGGAUCAGCGAUAUAUGUUUUUCAUUGACAGAAGAGAUGGGCACAAAAAAAUCAGUCUUAUGGCAAACAAUUUUCACACAUUUCUACAUAGCAUUACUAGUCAAAGACCCUUGAUAUAUGACAAUUUAGCAAAUCUAAGAACCAAUCCACUCAUGCAUGACCAGGAGCACAUAUCUACAGCUAUGAUACCUUAUUUCCUGAAGCAUGAACACAAAUAAUUAUUAUGAACUAUCAUCUAUACACAAGCACUUGCACUUGUUAAAUCAUCUGAUUUGACUGUCAUCGGACAGCGCAGAUCAUGGCUCCUUGUAUUCUUUCUUCCAUAAUCAAACAUAACCAACGGAAGACACAUGAUAAGUGAUAGAAUAAAACAUCAAGAACCAACGCCUUGCCUGAAUCCUUUUCCCACAAAAUCAAUGAAAAUCUAACUAUAAUAAUAAUUUAAUUAAGCAAAAAAUAUUCUUCCUACAAAGUCACAGUAGACGUUCUACAAAUUGCAACGUCGACAAUGAGAGUGGUAAUAAAACUAACAGUGCAAUAUUCCAGUAUACAUACUAACUAGGCGUGUCGUGUGACACAAUCAGAAAAUCUCAAUCAAGGAAAUAAUGAAACAACAAGAACUACACCAUCAGAAAUCUGAAACAAGGUAACAGUGAAAAACAUUAAUGACAAGGCAGCAGCAGAACUUGACGAUGAUGGCAACAGUUCAACGAUUUCUUUCACAAACACACAACUCCAGCCAAUAAUUUCAUCCAAUAAAACCACCAUCCGUCAAUGUGACGUAAUCUUGACAUGGGAACCAUGACCAAGAUAAUCCCACCACAAUAAUGUGGAAACUAGUAGCACCACUCUCCAUUUGAUCAUCUUAAGCAUGCUCAAGAGGCAAAAUUUGUCAUAUCAAACAAUACCAGAAUUAAUAACGCACGAGAAAUGGAAGAUACAGACAAUCUUGGCCCUUCCAACUAAAAAUGGCAUGUUAUUCGGAUACAGAAUCUGACACGAGAAAUGAAAGAUGCAGACGAACCAAUUGCCAUCCAGACAGCAGAGAAUCUCGCUCUGAAGAAACGGUUACAGGCUUACAGCAAGCGAGACGCAUGAAGAGACAACAGCUGAUAAUUACGUGUCCUAACGAAUACAGAGGCAUUCAAUGGUGGCGAGUGAAAGACACCUAACGAAACUUUUUCCUGAGCGGAUCGGAACUACGGCAAGCCUAAAAACACCGAUAAUAUUUGGUCCAUUUUAGAAUAAAAUUUUACGAGAGCGACGGCGAUCCUCGUGCAAGCAAAUCCCAAGAAUUCGAACGCGUCGAGAGAACCCUGCAGUUCGGCCCAGAAAGAGCGGUCACCUCGGAGAAAGGCAUGUCGGGGUUGAGCUGGGAGCGCACACACCACAACAACAGGAUCACCGUCCCCAGCGACUCCAAGUCGACGUCGAGGCGACGGUUGCGCCCGCACACCACCGACCGCUCCCCCGCGGCCGCGCGCCGUGCCCACGCCACCGCGCCUUCCACGUCCACUUGCGCCGCCGCCGAGCUCCGCGUCGCGCGCCUGGGCGACGGGGCCUCGGUGCCCCUCUUGCGCUUCCUUGGACGCUCCGGGGGCCCGGACCCCCGGGUACGCACGGGAGCUACCGAGUUGGACGUCAGACUCGAGCAUCGGGAGCGCCGCCUCCGCCGGCGAGAUGCUUGCGGGAAUGCGGCGGCGCGGCGUGGUUUUGGAGAGGGCCUUUAGCUUUAGGCGCCUGGGUUGGUGUCCCGCACUCCCGCUCUGCAUUUGACUUGCCGUUGCCUCUUUCUUUUUUUUCCUUUCUGAAACCUUGCCGUUGUGGCGUUGUCCUUGUAGGGUAUUUGCGAGAGACGCCGGCCGCCUCUAGCGGUGGCUGCCGGGCGCCGGCUGCGCUGCCUCGGCAUUCGGCAACCUCACCAUGUGAACCUGCCUUUGUAUGAACAUCAGUCAUGAUAAGUACUUCCACCUCCAUGUAAAACCCAAUUAAAUGAGGUGUCUUUUAAAAAUCUAUAGAAGGCUAAGUGAACUCUUCACGAAGAGUCCAUCUUCAUAUAAACUCUCUCUAUAUAUUGUGUAUUAACUUUAUUUAUAAUUUAAGAGUUUAUGAUUGUGUCAUAUAGUCUUUUAGAUGUCUUUUAUAGUUGGAAAUCUGAACUAGUCUCUAGGUCGUACAUGCCCUAAGGGUCCUAGGUGGAAAUGAUUUGGUGACCUUUUAAAUUUUCGUAGUAUUUGAUUUCACAUAAGUCUAAUUUUUUAUGAUUUUUUGCUAGAAGAGACAGAAUAAAGGGAUGUUUUACCAAAUAAAUAUAUCUGACGAUUUGUUUAUAUCAUUAAUUGUCCUGGCCAUCUCAAGCAAACUUUGAUCUACUUAUCCUGAUCAAGUUGAUCCCAACCUCAAUCAUCCUAGACAAACCUGGACUUGGUUACCCUGACCAGGUCAACCUCAACCUUAGAUCGACCAAAGUGAGAACCAACAUGGUCAGUGGUCACUCAGGCCAGGUUGACCUUAACUCUAGUCGCUCUGAGCUAAAUCAACAUAGGUCAUACUAACCUUAUAAGACUCUCUAGCGCCACAAUCUGGUGGUCCCAUGCAGGGGCGAACAGAGAGGGAGGGUUGCUAGGGCUACAAUCUCGGUCGUGAGCAAAAAAGUACCAGAGUGGAUCUUCUUACUAGCCCAAAUGCCUCCUUUAUAACCUACCAUGUACCAGCUACAUACACAUCCAAUACAUGUCCAUUACGACACUGAUAGGUGGCAAUGGUGAGAGCACCUAGAGGGGGGGUGAAUAGGUGAUCCUGUAAAACUUCAAAACUUAAGCCACAAAAACUCGUUAAGUGUUAGCACAGUUAUGGCCAAGUGGCUAGAGAGGAGUCAAAACACAAUAACCACAAGAAAUCAAUCACAGAGAUGACACGGUGGUUAUCCCGUGGUUCGGCCAAGUACAAAACUUGCCUACUCCACGUUGUGGCGUCCCAACGGACGAGAGUUGCACUCAACUUCUCUCAAGUGAUCCAAUGAUCAACUUGAAUACCACGGUGUUCUUCUUUUCUUUUCUCAAUCCCGUUUGCGAGGAAUCUCCACACUUUGGAGCCUCUCGCCCUUACAAAAGAUGUUCACAGAGAAUCACGGAGCAAGGGAGGGAUUAGCAACUCACACACGACACAAAGAUCACAGCGAAUACGCACACACAAGACCCAGACUUGAGCUCAAGAAACUAGCACACUAGAACGGAGCUCAAAUCACUAGAAUGUCGAACAAGUGCGCAAGAUUGAUGUGUGAGUGAUCAAGAGUGCUCAAGGAAUGCUUGGUUCUCUCCUCCAUGCGCCUAGGGGUCCCUUUUAUAGCCCCAAGGCAGCUAGGAGCCGUUGAGAACAAAUCUGGAAGGCCAUCCUUGCCUUCUGUCGUCGGGCGCACCGGACAGUCCGGUGCACACCGGACACUGUCCGGUGCCCGAUUUCUUUCCUUAACAGGCGCAGCCGACCGUUGCCGACUGUUGCAGAUCUGGCGCACUGGACAGUCCGGUGCACACCGGACAGUCCGGUGCCUCCUUCCGACCGUUGGCCAGACCACGUGUCGCGCGCAGAUUCCGCGGCCGACCGUUGGCUCGGCCGACCGUUGGCUCACCGGACAGUCCGGUGCACACCGGACAGUCCGGUGAAUUAUAGUCGUACGCCGUCGGCAAAAUUCCCGAGAGCGGCCUCUUCGCCCGAGGCAGCCUGGCGCACCGGACACUGUCUGGUGCCCCAGACCGAAGCAGCCUUUUGGCUGUACACAGCCAACUCUUCUUCUUCCUUCUUCUCUCUGUUUCUAACACUUAGAUAAGUAUGUUAGUACACAAAACCAAUGUACUAAGGCUUAGAAACAUACCUUUACUUGUGAUUUGCAACUUGUCCAUCCAUGGGCAUAGAUUCACAUUUAAGCACUUUGUGUUGGCACUCAAUCACCAAAAUACUUAGAAAUGGCCCAAGGGCACAUUUCCCUUUCAAUCUCCCCCUUUUUGGUGAUUUAUGCCAACACAACAUAAAGCAACUAGAACAAGUUCAAAAUCACUUCAAAUAAAACAAAUUUGAGUUUUAUUCAAUUUUGGCAUAUAUGGAUCAUCGUUUGCCACCACUUGGUUUGUUUUUGUAAAUCAAACUCACAUCUCUAUCUCUAAGUCAAACACACAUGUUGAAGCAUAAAGAGAGUCAUUCCAAAAAGAGAUUGAUCAAAGAUUUCAAAAACUCCCCCUAUUUCCCAUAAUCAAUACUUCUCCCCACAAGAAGCCAACUUUUGACAAAAGAGACAACAAGAGAGUUUUGACAAAACAAAAGCUCUACUUUACUAUUUUCAAAUCUCUGAAGUGGUAGCUGAUCCAUUUAUUGCUUUUGCCUUUAUUUUCUCCCCCUUUGGCAUCAAGCACCAAAACGGGAUCAACUUUGGCCCUUUAACCCCAUUGCCUCACCAAAAACUUCAAUAAGAUCAAUUGGCAAUAAGAGUUCAUGAGAUGGACUUGGAAUAAGUUACCCUCUCAUCGGAGUGCAGUGGAAGUCUUUCAUGGUCCAAGUCCACCUUUUCCCUUUCAAUUUUCCUUCGAGACUAAAUCAAACAAUCUCAAGCAUAUGGUUAGUCUCAAAGGGUCAAGUUGUAACACAUCUCCCCCUAAACAUGUGCAUCACUUUUGCAACGGACUUGUGAGGUCCAGGGAGUGUUUGUACAACUUGAGCACCAUAAUAAGCAACAAAAUGCAGAAUGAACAUGAUCAAAGGCAUAAACACAUGUAUGCUACAAUUCAAUCCAAGUUCCGCGAAUCUAAGACAUUUAGCUCACUACGCAGCCUGCAAAAGGUCUUCUCAUCUAGAGGCUUGGUAAAGAUAUCGGCUAGCUGGUUCUCGGUGCUAACAUGAAACACUUCGAUAUCCCCCUUUUGCUGGUGGUCUCUCAAAAAGUGAUGCCGGAUGUCUAUGUGCUUUGUGCGGCUGUGCUCAACAGGAUUUUCCGCCAUACGGAUAGCACUCUCAUUGUCACAUAGGAGUGGGACUUUGCUCAGAUUGUAGCCAAAGUCCCGGAGGGUUUGCCUCAUCCAAAGUAGUUGCGCGCAACACUGUCCUGCGACAACGUACUCGGCCUCAGCGGUGGAUAGGGCAACGGAAGUUUGUUUCUUAGAGUUCCAUGACACCAGGGACCUUCCUAAGAAUUGGCACGUCCCCGAUGUGCUCUUCCUAUCGACCUUACAUCCAGCAUAGUCGGAGUCUGAGUAUCCAACCAAGUCAAAGGUAGACCCCUUUGGAUACCAGAGCCCGAAGCAAGGCGUAGCAACUAAAUAUCUCAGAAUUCGCUUCACCGCCACUAAGUGACACUCCUUAGGAUCGUAUUGAAAUCUAGCACACAUGCAUACGCUAAGCAUAAUAUCCGGUCUACUAGCACAUAAGUAAAGUAAUGAACCUAUCAUUGACCGGUAUGCUUUUUGAUCAACGGACUUACCUCCUUUAUUGAGGUCGGUGUGUCCGUCGGUUCCCAUCGGAGUCUUUGCGGGCUUGGAGUCCUUCAUCCCAAACCGCUUUAGCAGAUCUUGCGUGUACUUUGUUUGGGAGAUGAAGGUACCGUCCUUGAGUUGCUUCACUUGGAACCCAAGGAAGUAGUUCAACUCGCCCAUCAUCGACAUCUCGAAUUUCUGCGUCAUCACCCUGCUAAACUCUUCACAAGACUUUUGGUUAGUAGAACCAAAUAUUAUGUCAUCGACAUAAAUUUGGCACACAAACAAAUCACCAUCACAUGUCUUUGUAAAAAGAGUUGGAUCAGCUUUCCCAACUUUGAAAGCAUUAACAAUUAGAAAGUCUCUAAGGCAUUCAUACCAUGCUCUUGGGGCUUGCUUAAGUCCAUAGAGCGCCUUAGAGAGCUUACACACAUGGUCGGGGUACUGUUCAUCCUCGAAGCCAGGGGGUUGCUCCACGUACACCUCUUCCUUGAUUGGCCCGUUGAGGAAUGCGCUCUUCACAUCCAUUUGGUACAGCCUGAAAGAAUGAUGAGCGGCAUAUGCUAGCAAGAUACGAAUUGAUUCUAGCCUAGCCACAGGAGCAAAAGUCUCCUCGAAAUCCAAACCUGCGACUUGGGCAUAACCUUUUGCCACAAGUCGAGCCUUGUUUCUCGUCACCACCCCGUGCUCGUCCUGUUUGUUGCGGAACACCCACUUGGUUCCCACAACAUUUUGCUUCGGACGAGGCACCAGUGUCCAAACUUCAUUCCUCUUGAAGUUGUUGAGCUCCUCCUGCAUGGCCAACACCCAGUCCGGAUCUAGCAAGGCCUCCUCUACCCUGAAAGGCUCAAUAGAAGAGACAAAGGAGUAAUGCUCACAAAAAUUAACUAAUCGAGAUCGAGUAGUUACUCCCUUGCUAAUGUCACCCAGAAUUUGGUCGAUGGGAUGAUCCCUUUGAAUCAUUGCUCGAACUUGGGUUGGAGGUGCCGGUUGCGCUUCUUCUUCCAUUACAUUAUCAACUUGUGCUCCUCCCACUUGUUUACCUGCUUGACAAGCUGCACAAGGUCUAUCCUUUUCGAAUUGCACGUUAGUCAAACCUAUCACAUGUUCUCCCUUUAGAAGCUUGUGAAGGUUCUUCAUCCCCACAUGUGCUAAGCGGCGAUGCCACAGCCAGCCCAUGCUAGUCUUAGCUAUUAAGCAUGCAUCUAGACCGGCCUCUUCUUUUGCAAAAUCAACUAAAUAAAGUUUGCCGUCUAAUACACCCUUAAAAGCUAGUGAACCAUCACUUCUUCUAAAGACAGACACAUCUACAUUUGUAAAUAGACAGUUAUACCCCAUGUUGCAUAAUUGACUAACAGAUAGCAAAUUAUAACCAAGAGACUCUACUAAAAACACAUUAGAGAUAGAGUGCUCAUUAGAAAUUGCAAUUUUACCUAACCCUUUUACCUUGCCUUGAUUCCCAUCACCGAAUACAAUUGAAUCUUGGGAAUCCUUAUUUUUGACGUAGGAGGUGAACAUCUUCUUCUCCCCCGUCAUAUGGUUUGUGCAUCCGCUGUCGAUAAUCCAGCUUGAACCCCCGGAUGCAUAAACCUGCAAGGCAAAUUUAGGCUUGGGUUUUAGGUACCCAACUCAUGUUGGGUCCUACAAGGUUAGCACAAAUAUCUUUAGGGACCCAAAUGCAAGUUUUGUCUCCCUUGCAUCUUGCCCCUAACUUCCUAGCAACAAUUUUCUUAUCCUUUCUACAAAUAGCGAAGGAAGCAUUCAAGGCAUGAUAUAUUGUAGAAGGUUCAUUAACUCUCCUAGGAACAUUAACAACAUUUCUCCUAGGCAUAUUGUGAACAACAUUUCUCCUACUAACAUUUCUAUCAUGCAUAACAUGAGAACUAGAAGCAGUCAUAGCAUAAGAGUCAUAAGCAUGUGAAUCAAAAACAUCAUUACCUCUAAAAGCAUUUCUAGAGUAUCUCCUAUCAUAGUACAUGAAAGCAUGAUUCUUCUUAACACUAUUGGCCAUAGGAGCCUUCCCUUUCUCCUUGGUGGAGAUAGGAGUCUUAUGGCUUGUUGAGUUCUUGGCUUCCCUCUUGAAGCCAAGCCCAUCCUUAAUUGAGGGGUGUCUACCAAUAGUGUAGGCAUCCCUUGCAAAUUUUAGUUUUUCAAAUUCACUCUUGCUAGUCUUAAGUUGGGCAUUAAGACUAGCUAAUUCAUCAUUCAAUUUUGAAAUGGAAACUAAGUGUUCACUACAGGCAUUAAUAUCAACAUCCUUGCACCUCGUGCAAAUUUCAACAUGUUCAACACAAGAGUUGGAUUUAUGUGCUUCUACUAGUUUAGCAUUUAAGUCAUCAUUAAUGCUCUUUAAUUUAGAAAUAGAAUCAUGGCAUGUAGACAAUUCAUAAGCAAGCAUUUCAUUCCUCUUAAUUUCUAAUGCAAGGGAUUUUUGAGCCUCUACAAACUUAUCAUGUUCUUCAUACAACAAAUCCUCUUGCUUUUCUAAAAGUAUAUUCUUUUCAUUCAAGGCAUCAAUUAAUUCAUUAAUUUUAUCUAUCUUAGAUCUAUCUAAGCCCUUGAACAAACAUGAAUAAUCUACUUCAUUCUCAUCACUAGAUUCGUCCUCACUUGAAGAAGCAUAGGUAGAGUUGCGAGUACAUACCUUCUUCUCCCUUGCCAUAAGGCAUGUGUGACGCUCGUUUGGGAAGAGGGUUGAUUUGUUGAAGGCGGUGGCGGCGAGUCCUUCAUUGUCGGAGUCGGAAGAGGAGCAAUCCGAGUCCCACUCCUUGCCUAGAUGCGCCUCGCCCUUUGCCUUCUUGUAAUUCUUCUUCUUUUCCCUCUUAUUUCCCUGUUCCUGGUCACUAUCAUUAUCGGGGCAGUUAGCGAUAAAAUGACCAAUCUUACCGCACUUGAAGCAUGAGCGCUUCCCCUUUGUCUUGGUCUUGCUUGGCUGCCCCUUGUGACCCUUUAGAACCGUCUUGAAGCGUUUAAUGAUGAGAGCCAUCUCCUCAUCAUUAAGUCCGGCCGCCUCAAUUUGUGCCACCUUGCUAGGUAGCGCCUCCUUGCUUCUUGUUGCUUUGAGAGCAAAAGGUUGCGGCUCGUUGAUCGGUCCAUUCAAGGCGUCGUCCACGUACCUUGCUUCCUUGAUCAUCAUUCGCCCGCUGACGAAUUUUCCUAAGACUUCUUCGGGCGACAUUUUGGUGUACCUGGGAUUCUCACGAAUAUUAUUCACCAAAUGAGGAUCAAGAACGGUAAAGGACCUUAGCAUUAGUCGGACGACGUCGUGGUCCGUCCAUCGCGUGCUUCCGUAGCUCCUUAUUUUGUUGAUAAGGGUCUUGAGCCGGUUGUAUGUUUGAGUUGGCUCCUCGCCCCUUAUCAUCGCGAACCGUCCAAGCUCUCCCUCCACCAACUCCAUUUUGGUGAGCAAGGUAGCGUCAUUUCCCUCAUGAGAGAUCUUGAGGGUAUCCCAGAUUUGCUUGGCGUUAUCCAAGCCACUCACUUUGUUAUAUUCAUCCCUGCACAAUGAAGCUAGAAGAACAGUAGUAGCUUGUGCAUUCUUAUGGAUUUGCUCAUUAAUGAAUAUAGGACUAUCCGAACUAUUAAAGUGCAUUCCACUAUCUACAAUCUCCCAUAUACUAGGAUGGAGAGAGAAUAGGUGACUACGCAUUUUGUGGCUCCAAAAUCCGUAGUCUUCUCCAUCAAAGUGUGGGGGCUUGCCAAGUGGAAUGGAAAGCAAAUGUGAAUUUGAACUUUGCGGAAUGCGAGAGUAGUCAAAAGAAAAGUUAGAAUUAACUGGUUUCCUUUGCUCGUAGUCGUUGUCCUUUUGGGAAGAGGAAGAUUCGUCGCUGUCGUAGUAGACAAUCUCCUUGAUGCGCCUUGUCUUCUUCUUCUUCCCAUCUUUUCGUCUAUGGUCUGAGCCCGAGUCGUUGGACUUGUCAUCCUUUGGCUCGUUGACGAAGGACUCCUUCUCCUUGUCGUUGAUCACGAUUCCCUUCCCCUUAGGAUCCAUCUCUUUGGGCGGUUAGUCCCUUUCUUGAAGAGAACGGCUCUGAUACCAAUUGAGAGCACCUAGAGGGGGGGGGGGUGAAUAGGUGAUCCUGUAAAACUUCAAAACUUAAGCCACAAAAACUCGUUAAGUGUUAGCACAGUUAUGGCCAAGUGGCUAGAGAGGAGUCAAAACACAAUAACCACAAGAAAUCAAUCACAGAGAUGACACGAUGGUUAUCCCGUGGUUCGGCCAAGUACAAAACUUGCCUACUCCACGUUGUGGCGUCCCAACGGACGAGAGUUGCACUCAACUCCUCUCAAGUGAUCCAAUGAUCAACUUGAAUACCAUGGUGUUCUUCUUUUCUUUUCUCAAUCCCGUUUGCGAGGAAUCUCCACACUUUGGAGCCUCUCGCCCUUACAAAAGAUGUUCACAGAGAAUCACGGAGCAAGGGAGGGAUUAGCAACUCACACACGACACAAAGAUCACAGCGAAUACGCACACACAAGACCCAGACUUGAGCUCAAGAAACUAGCACACUAGAACGGAGCUCAAAUCACUAGAAUGUCGAACAAGUGCGCAAGAUUGAUGUGUGAGUGAUCAAGAGUGCUCAAGGAAUGCUUGGUUCUCUCCUCCAUGCGCCUAGGGGUCCCUUUUAUAGCCCCAAGGCAGCUAGGAGCCGUUGAGAACAAAUCUGGAAGGCCAUCCUUGCCUUCUGUCGUCGGGCGCACCGGACAGUCCGGUGCACACCGGACACUGUCCGGUGCCCGAUUUCUUUCCUUAACAGGCGCAGCCGACCGUUGCCGACUGUUGCAGAUCUGGCGCACCGGACAGUCCGAUGCACACCGGACAGUCCGGUGCCUCCUUCCGACCGUUGGCCAGACCACGUGUCGCGCGCAGAUUCCGCGGCCGACCGUUGGCUCACCGGACAGUCCGGUGCACACCGGACAGUCCGGUGAAUUAUAGCCGUACGCCGUCGGCAAAAUUCCCGAGAGCGGCCUCUUCGCCCGAGGCAGCCUGGCGCACCGGACACUGUCCGGUGCACCACCGGACAGUCCGGUGCCCCAGACCGAAGCAGCCUUUUGGCUGUACACAGCCAACUCUUCUUCUUCCUUCUUCUCUCUGUUUCUAACACUUAGAUAAGUAUGUUAGUACACAAAACCAAUGUACUAAGGCUUAGAAACAUACCUUUACUUGGGAUUUGCAACUUGUCCAUCCAUGGGCAUAGAUUCACAUUUAAGCACUUUGUGUUGGCACUCAAUCAGCAAAAUACUUAGAAAUGGCCCAAGGGCACAUUUCCCUUUCAAAUGGCUAGUUGACCAGAUUGCCCACUACAAUGUACCAACCACCUGCUGCUAGGCCACCAUCAUCGCCACGGUUAGGCGGUUGUGCCUUGUGGGCUAUUGUUGUCCCUUGCUCUUGGAUUUAUCUGUUAGGAAUAUUGUAACACCCUCGUUUUUUAAAAUAUCAUUUUUUUUCUUUGAAAAGCACCCAAAAAUCAAUGUUUCUUUUUUCUUUCCUUAAAGGAGAGAAAUAUUUUCGAAAUAAUAAAAACAAACAAGAUAAAACUUGAGGGUUGUUUGUUGAAUUGCAAUGUGUUUUAUUUGAAUUCAAAGGGGCAAAUCAAUUUCCAAGGAAAUAAAAAGAAAAACAUCUCUUCUCUCCCCAACUCGACAUCUGGCCCAGCCCAAGUCACCACGUGUUUCGCCCCACGUCGGAACCCUGGCUGUGGGGCCCACUCAUCAGUUUGCGCCCGCAUGACCGUUGCUGACCUCGCUGUUGCGUCAGGUCCACUAGUCAAAUCCACCCCUCCCCCGCAACUAUCACCUUGCUCGGCCAGGAUGAGGACCGUGACGAACUCGGUAACCGCCUCGUCUCCACCUCACCAUGAUCAUGACCGGGCCAGCCGCAUGAAACUCCUACCCCUUUGUACGUUUUCCCUUCCCUCACACUCCACUGCGCCUUGCUCCACCACUGCAACGUUAAGCACGUCGCACAUCGAGCUCACAAGCACACCCGAAGGACUGUCGUCACUACCCAGCGCUGAAAGGGAAAUGUGCCCUUGGGCCAUUUCUAAGGAUUUUGGUGAUUAAGUGUCCAACACAAAUGCCUUAAGUAUUAAUAAGUGCCAAAUGGUGGAUGAAGUGAAAAUCAACACAAAGGUAUGAUUCUAGACUUAGUACAUUGAUUUUUGUGUACUAACAUAUUUGUCUAAGUGCUAGAAUCAGAGAAAACACAAAAGGAAAAAAGACUUGGCUGGAGCAGCCAAGACUCUGCGCAGUCUGGGUGCACCAGACAGUGUCCGGUGCGCCAGGCUGAAGUCUGGUCAAUUGGCCGCUCUCGGGAAUUCGUCGGCGGCAUACGACUAAAAUUCACCGGACUGUCCGGUGGUGCACCGGACUGUCCGGUGAGCCAACGGUUUGAAUGGGGCACCGGACUGUCCGGUGCCCACCGGACAGUGUCCGGUGCGCCAACGACUCCAAAUCUUCAACGGUCGGCUGCGCCAUUUUUGGAAAGCAAUCUGCACCGGACACUGAACAGUGCCUGUCCGGUGGCUCACCGGACUGUCCGGUGCGCCACCCGACAGAAGGCAAGAAUUGCCUUCCCUGAAAUCCUCCAACGACUCCUAGCUGCCUUGGGGCUAUAAAAGGGACCCCUAGGCGCAUGGAGGAGAAAUAUACAAGCAUUCUUUGAUCAUCUCUAAGCACCAAGACUUCAUUCUAGAGCAUUUGAUUCUUUGUGAUAGCAAUUUGAGCUCCUCUUGAGUUGAGAACUCCGUGUGUGAACUUAGAGCUCAAGCUGUGACUAGUGUGCGUGUUUGUGCUGUUGAGACUUGUGUGUGUUGCUUUUCCCUCCCUUACAUUCGUGCUUGUAAUCAUCAUUUGUAAGGGCGAGAGGCUCCAAGUUGUGGAGAUUCCUCGCAAACGGGAUAUUGUGAAAGAAAGAAAAACACCGUGGUAUUCAAGUGGAUCUUUGGAUCACUUGAAAGGGGUUGAGUGCAACCCUCGUCCAUUGGGACGCCACAACGUGGAGUAGGCAAGUGUUGUACUUGGCCGAACCACGGGAUACACCAUCGUGUCUCUUGUGUUUGUUCUCACUGUGACUAUUGUGUUUCACAAGAGCUCGGUCCUUAGCCACUUGAUUUCAUUGUACUAACACUUAAUCAAGUUUUGUGGCUUUAAGUUUUAAGUUUUUACAGGAUCACCUAUUCACCCCCCCUCUAGGUGCUCUCAAUUGGUAUCAGAGUCGUUCUCUUCACGAAAGGGACUAAUCGCCCGAAGGGAUGGAUCCUAAGGGAAAGGGGAUGGUGAUCAACGACAAGGAAAAGGAGUCCUUCAUCAAUGAGCCAAAAGACGACAAGCCCACUGACUCGGGCUCAAGUCACAAGAAGAAGGAUGGGAAGAAGAAGAGGCGCAUCAAGAAGAUAGUCUACUACGACAGCGAUGAGUCCUCUUCUUCCCAAAGAGACGACAACGACGAGAAAAAGAAAACGGUCAACUCAAACUUUUCUUUUGAUUAUUCUCGUAUUCCGCAAAAUUCCAAUGCUCAUUUGCUUUCCAUUCCUCUUGGUAAACCUCCACACUUUGAUGGAGAGGACUACGGAUUUUGGAGUCACAAAAUGUGUAGCCACUUGUUCUCUCUUCAUCCAAGUAUAUGGGAGAUAGUAGAAAAUGGAAUGCAAUUUGACAGUACGGACAAUCCCAUGUUUAUCAAUGAACAAAUUCACAAAAAAGCACAAGCUACCACUGUUCUUUUAGCAUCCUUGUACAGGGAAGAGUAUCAUAAGGUGGGCAGCUUGGAUAAUGCCAAGCAAAUUUGGGACACCCUCAAGAUCUCACAUGAGGGGAACGACGCCACCAUGAUCACCAAGAUGGAGUUGGUGGAAGGCGAACUAGGAAGGUUCACAAUGAUCAGGGGGGAGGAGCCAACUCAAAUGUACAACAGGCUCAAGACCCUGGUCAACAAAAUCAGGAGCUAUGGAAGCACGAGAUGGACGGACCACAACGUCGUCCGGCUUAUGCUAAGGUCCUUCACUGUCCUUGAUCCUCAUCUUGUAAACUCUAUUCGUGAAAAUCCUAGGUACACCAAGAUGACGCCCGAGGAAAUACUCGGAAAGUUUGUAAGCGGGCGAAUGAUGAUCAAGGAGGCAAGAUAUGUUGAUGAGGCGUUAAAUGGCCCAAUGCCGAUCCACGAGCCUCAAACCAUUGCUCUCAAAGCAACAAGCAGCAGGGAGGGGCUACCUAACAAGGUGGCGCAAGUUGAGGCGGCCGAGCUAAAUGAAGAUGAAAUGGCCCUCAUCAUCAAGCGCUUCAAGACGGCGCUCAAAGGUCGCAAGGAGCAUCCCAACAAGAGCAAGACGAAGGGAAAGCGCUCCUGCUUCAAGUGUGGUAAGAUUGGUCACUUUAUUGCUAAUUGUCCCGAUAAUGAUAGUGACCAGGAACAAGGAAAGAAUGGGAAGAGAGAGAACAAGAAGGUUUACAAGAAGGCUAAGGGCGAAGCACACCUUGGAAAAGAAUGGGACUCGGAUUGUUCUUCGUCCGACUCCGACGACGAAGGACUCACCGCCAUGGCCUUCAACAAAUCGUCUCUCUUCCCCAACGAGCAUCACACCUGCCUCAUGGCAAAGGAGAAGAAGGUAAGCACUCGAAAUACUAUUGCAUAUGCUUCUUCAAGUGAUGAUGAAUCUAGUGAUGAUGAAGUAGACUAUGCAAGUUUAUUCAAAGGCUUAGAUAGAACUAAAAUUGAUAAGAUCAAUGAAUUAAUUGAUGUGUUGAAUGAGAAGAAUAGAUUGCUAGAAAAGCAAGAGGAUCUUUUAUAUGAAGAGCAUGAUAAAUUUGUAAGUGUACAAAGGUCUCUUGCUUUAGAAGUUAAAAGAAAUGAAAUACUUUCAUGUGAAUUAUCUACUUGUCAUGAGUCUAUUUCUAGUCUAAAGAGUGUCAAUGGUGACUUAAAUCCUAAGUUAGAAGUAGCAAAUAAAUCUAGCUCAUGCAUUGAACAUAUAAUAAUUUGUAAUAGGUGUAAGGAUUUUAAUGUUGAUGCAUGUGUCGAGCACCUUACUUCUAUUGCAAAAUUAAAUGGUGAAGUGGCUAGUCUUAAUGCCCAACUUAAGACUAGCAAAAAUGACUUUGAUAAACUAAAAUUUGCAAGGGAUGCCUAGACUAUUGGUAGACACCCCUCUAUUAAGGAUGGACUUGGCUUUCGAAGGGAAGCCAAGAACUUAACAAGUCAUAAGGCUCCCAUCUCCACCAAGGAGAAAGGGAAGGCCCCUAUGUCUAAUAGUGGUCAAAAGAAUCAUGCUUUCAUUUAUAGUGAUAGAAAAUUCUCUAGAAAUGCUUAUAGGAACUAUGUUUAUGAUUCACAUGCUAUGUCUGCUUCUAGUUCCUCUGCUGUGCAUGGUAGAAAUAUGCCUAGGAAAAAUGUUGUUCAUAUGCAUAGGAAAGUAAGUAAUGAACUGUCUACAAUUUACCAUGCUUGUAAUGCUUCCUUUGCAAUUUGUAGUAAGAAUAAGAAAGUGAUUGCCAAGAAGUUGGGGGCCAAGUGCAAGGGAGACAAGACUUGCAUUUGGGUCCCAAAGACAAUUAUAACUAACCUUGUAGGACCCAACAAGAGUUGGGUACCUAAAACCCAAGCCUAAUUUACCUUGCAGAUUUAUGCAUCCGGGGGCUCAAGCUGGAUUAUCGACAGCGGAUGCACAAACCACAUGACGGGGGAGAAGAAUAUGUUCUCCUCCUACGUCAAGAACAAAGAUCCCCAAGAUUCAAUCAUAUUCGGUGAUGGGAAUCAAGGCAAGGUUAAAGGACUAGGAAAGAUAGAUAUUUCAUCCGAGCAUUCCAUAUCUAAUGUGUUUUUAGUUGAGUCGCUUGGGUAUAACUUGUUGUCCGUUAGUCAAUUGUGUAAUAUGGGUUACAAUUGCUUAUUUACAAAUGUAGAUGUGUCUGUCUUUAGAAGGAGUGAUGGUUCAUUAGCUUUUAAGGGUGUACUAGACGACAAACUCUAUUAGUUGAUUUUUCGAAGGAGGAGGCCGAUCUAGAUGCAUGCUUAAUCGCUAAGACUAGCAUGGGCUGGUUGUGGCAUCGCCGUCUAGCACAUGUGGGGAUGAAGAACCUUCACAAACUUCUAAAGGGAGAACAUAUGUUAGGUCUAACAAAUGUAACUUUCGAAAAAGAUAGACCUUGUGCAGCUUGUCAAGCAGGUAAACAAGUGGGAAGUGCUCAUCACAACAAGAAUGUGAUGACCACAUCAAGACCUCUGGAGCUACUUCAUAUGGAUCUCUUCGGACCCGUCGCCUACCUCAGCAUCGAGGGAAGUAAGUAUGGUCUUGUUAUAGUUGAUGAUUUUCCCGCUUCACUUGGGUAUUCUUUUUGCAGGAUAAAACAGAAACCCAAGGGACCCUUAAGCGCUUCCUAAGGAGAGCUCAAAAUGAAUUUGAGCUCAAGGUGAAAAAGAUAAGAAGCGACAACGGGUCCGAAUUCAAGAACCUUCAAGUGGAGGAGUACCUUGAGGAGGAAGUGAAAGGGAAUUAGGCUUACACCUAGUUCCUAAUUAAUUUUGGUGGUUGAAUUACCCAAUACAAAUUAUUGGACUAACUAGUUUGCUCUAGAUUAUAUGUUCUACAGGUGCCAAAGGUUCAUCUACAACUAUACUAAAUCGACUGUCCGGAAUACCGUAGAUUAUUCCGGACAGGAGAAGCUUUUUGGAAAAACAGACCAAGCGCGGACCGUCCGGGCCCUUGCGGCGGAUCGUCCGCAACACCAGGAUGACCCUCGGACAGAACCAAUACAAAAAUACGAGUCUGCACUAUGGACCGUCCGGAGGAAAAGCGCGGACCGUCUGAAACCUCGCGCGGACCGUCCGGCCUCAAGCGCGGACCGUCCGGUAGGCAAGGAAUCGAAAAACCCGAAGGUGACGGGUUCGGAAAAAUGAAUUAUAGCGGCCUCGCGGACCGUCCGGGGUGCACGACCGGACCGUCCGCGACUGGCUUUUUCUGACAUCUGACGACGCAUUAAAUGCAAUAUAGCCGUUGAUAUAGCCGUUACUGCUGACCGUUGCGUUUUCAGCCGUUGAUCUACAGGGGCGGACCGUCCGGACCAGGCGGGCGGACCGUCCGCGCUCAGCAGAAUGGAGCAACGGCUAGGAAGUGGUUGGUGGCUAUAAAUACAACCCCAACCACCUCCAUUCACUUCACUCAAGCAUUCCAACCUUCAACAUUCAAUACAAGAGCUAGCAAUCCAUUCCAAGACACAUUCAAAGCCUCCAUCUCUCCAAGUUUCACAAUUGAGAAAAGAGAUCAUUAGUGAUUGGUGACUUGAGAGAGAAAGUGAUCCUUGUGUUAUUUGUCGCUCUUGUCGCUUGGCUUUUGCAAUCGUGCUUUCUUUGAUUCUUCAUUGCGAUCAAACUCACUUGUAAUUAAGGCAAGAGACACCAAUCUUGUGGUGGUCCUUGUGGGAACUUUGUGUUCCAAGUGAUUGAGAAGAAAAGCUCACUCGGUCCGAGGGACCGUUUUGAGAGAGGGAAAGGGUUGAAAGAGACCCGGCCUUUGUGGCCUCCUCAACGGGGAGUAGGUUUGCGAGAACCGAACCUCGGUAAAACAAAUCCGUGUGUCACACUUCUUAUUUGCUUGCGAUCUGUUUUCCACCCUCUCUCAUGGACUCGAUUAUAUUUCUAACGCUAACCCGGCUUGUAGUUGUGAUUAACUUUGUAAAUUUUUAGUUUCACCCUAUUCACCCCCCCUCUAGGCGACUUUCAAUUGGUAUCAGAACACGGUACUUCAUUAGAGCCUAACCGCUCGAAGUAAUGUCGGGAGAUCACGCCAAGAAGGAGAUGGAGACCGGCGAAAAGCCCACUACAAGCCACGGGAAGACUUCAUCGGAAGAGUCCCGCAACAAGAGGAAGGAGAAGAAAGACUCCUCCAAAGGGAAGGAGAAGAAAUCUUCUUCACACAAAGAGAAGAAGGAGAAAUCCUCUUCCCACAAGCCGCAUCGGAGUGGGGACAAGAAAAAGAGGAUGAGGAAAGUGGUCUACUACGAGACCGAUUCUUCAUCAACAUCUACCUCCGGCUCCGACGCGGCGUCCGUCACUUCUAAGCGCCAAGAGCGCAAGAAGUAUAGUAAGAUUCCCCUACGCUACCCUCGCAUUUCUAAACAUACACCUUUGCUUUCCAUCCCAUUAGGCAAACCACCAACAUUUGAUGGUGAAGAUUACGCUAGGUGGAGUGAUUUAAUGCUAUUUCAUCUAACCUCACUCCACAAAAGUAUAUGGGAUGUUGUUGAGUUUGGUGCACAGGUACCAUCCGUAGGGGAUGAAGACUAUGAUGAGGAUGAGGUGGCCCAAAUCGAGCACUUCAACUCCCAAGCCACAACCAUACUCCUUGCCUCUCUAAGUAGAGAGGAAUAUAACAAGGUGCAAGGGUUGAAGAGUGCGAAAGAGAUUUGGGACUUACUCAAGACCGCGCACGAGGGUGAUGAACUCACCAAGAUCACCAAGCGGGAAACGAUCGAGGGGGAGCUCGGCCGCUUCCGUCUUCGCCAAGGGGAGGAGCCACAAGACAUGUACAACCGGCUCAAAACCUUGGUAAACCAAGUGCGCAACCUCGGGAGCAAAAAGUGGGAUGACCACGAGGUGGUUAAGGUUAUUCUAAGAUCUCUUAUUUUCCUUAACCCUACUCAAGUUCAAUUAAUUCGUGGCAACCCAAGAUAUACACUAAUGACCCCCGAGGAAGUAAUCGGGAAUUUUGUGAGCUUUGAGUAUAUGAUCAAGGGCUCGAAGAAGAUUAACGAGCUAGAUGAUCCCUCCACAUCCGCGGCACAACUGGUCGCAUUUAAGGCGACGGAGGAGAAGAAGGAGGAGUCUACAUCGAGUAGACAACCUGAUAGUCGCCUAGAGGGGGGGUGAAUAGGGCGAAACUGAAAUUUACAAAUAUAAACACAACUACAAGCCGGGUUAGCGUUAGAAAUAAAAACGAGUCCGCGAGAGAGGGUGGAAAACAAAUCGCAAGCAAAUGAAGAGUGUGACACGCGGAUUUGUUUUACCGAGGUUCGGUUCUUGCAAACCUACUCCCCGUUGAGGAGGCCACAAAGGCCGGGUCUCUUUCAACCCUUCCCUCUCUCAAACGGUCCCUCGGACCGAGUGAGCUUCUCUUCUCAAAUCACUUGGGAAUCAAACUUCCUGCAAGGACCACCACACACUUGGUGUCUCUUGCCUCAAUUACAAGUGAGUGUUUGAUCACAAGAAAGAAUGCCAAAGAAAAGAAGCGAUCCAAGCGCAAGAGCUCAAAUGAACACUACAAAUCACUCUCUCUAGUCACUAAGGCUUUGUGUGGAGUUGGGAGAGGAUUUGAUCUCUUUUGGUGUGCCUUGCAAUGAAUGCUAGCUCUUGUAUAGUGGUUGGAAGCUGGAAAACUUGGAUGCAAUGAAUGGUGGGGUGGUUGGGGUAUUUAUAGCCCCAACCACCAAACAUGACCGUUGGUGGAGGCUGUCUGUCGUAUGGUGCACCGGACAGUCCGGUGCACACCGGACAUGUCCGGUGCGCCAGCCACGUCACCAAUGCCGUUGGAAUUUGACCGUUGGAGUUCUGACUUCUGGGCCCGCCUGGAUGUCCGGUGCACACCAGACAUGUACUGUUCAAUGUCCGGUGCGCCAGAAUGGGCGUGCCUGACUUCUGCGCGCUUCUGGCGCGCAUUGAAUGCGCCUGCAGGUAGCCGUUGCUCCGGAGUUGCACCGGACAGUCCGGUGUACACCAGACAUGUCCGGUGAAUUAUAGCGGAACAACCGUUCUGAAUUCCCGAGUCUGCCGAGUUCCAGAGCCGCGUUCCUUUGGAGCACCGGACACUGUCCGGUGUACACCGGACAGUCCGGUGAAUUAUAGCGCGCCGGCUUCUGGAAAUUCCCGAGGCUGAGGAGUUCUGCGCGAGGUCCCCUGGUGCACCAGACACUGUCCGGUGCGCCACCGGACAGUCCGGUGCGCCAGACCAGGGAGCCUUUCGGGAUGCCUUUGGCUCUUUAAUUUGAACCCAACUUUGGUCUUUUUAAUUGGCUUGUUGUGAACCUUUGACACCUGUAUAACUUAUACACUAGAGCAAACUAGUUAGUCCAAUUAUUUGUGUUGGGCAAUUCAACCACCAAAAUUAAUUAGGGACUAGGUGUAAGCCUAAUUCCCUUUCAAUCUCCCCCUUUUUGGUGAUUGAUGCCAACACAAACCAAAGCAAAUAUAGAAGUGCAUAAUUGAACUAGUUUGCAUAAUGUAAGUGCAAAGGUUGCUUGGAAUUGAGCCAAUGUAAAUACUUACAAGAUAUGCAUGGAUCGUUUCUUUGUUUUUAACAUUUUGGACCACACUUGCACCACAUGUUUUGUUUUUGCAAAAUCUUUUGUAAAUCCUUUUCAAAGUUCUUUUGCAAAUAGUCAAAGGUAAUGAAUAAGAUUUUGCAAAGCAUUUUCAAGAUUUGAAAUAUUCUCCCCCUGUUUCAAAUGCUUUUCCUUGACUAAACAAAACUCCCCCUUAAUUGGGAUCCGCCUCUUAGUGUUCAAGAGGGUUUUGAUAUAUCCUUUUUGAAAUACUACUUUCUCCCCCUUUUGAACACAAUAAGAUGCCAAUUGAAAAUACUCUUUGAAAAACUAAGUUUUUGAAAUUGGUGGUGGUGCGGUCCUUUUGCUUUGGGCUCAUACUUUCUCCCCCUUUAGCAUGAAUCACCAAAAACAGAAUCAUUAGAGCCCUUUGAAGUACUUUCUUCCCCUUUGGUCAUAAAUAAAUGAGUUAAGAUUAUACCAAAGAUGAAGUCCUUUUGUUUGUUGCUCAUGCUUUCUCCCUCUAGAAUAGAGAGUUGCUCGGAGUGAUGGCGAAGGGUGAGUUACGGAGUGGAAGCCUUUGUCUUCGCCGAAGACUCCAAUUCCCUUUUAAUACGCCUAUGACUUGGUUUGAAAUAGACUUGAAAACACAUUAGCCAUAGCAUAUGAAAGAGAGAUGAUCAAAGGUAUAAAUGAGCUAUGUGUGCAAUUUUAACAAAAGAAGUUCCUAGAAUCAAGAAUAUUUAGCUCAUGCCUGAGUUUGUUAAAAGUUUGUUCAUCAAGAGGCUUGGUAAAGAUAUCGGCUAAUUGAUCUUUAGUGUUAAUAUAUGAAAUCUCGAUAUCUCCCUUUUGUUGGUGAUCCCUAAGAAAAUGAUACCGAAUGGCUAUGUGUUUAGUGCGGCUAUGUUCGACGGGAUUAUCCGCCAUCUUGAUUGCACUCUCAUUAUCACAUAGCAAAGGGACUUUGGUUAAUUUGUAAUCGUAGUCCCGCAGGGUUUGCUUCAUCCAAAUCAAUUGCGUGCAACAAUGGCCUGCGACAAUGUACUCGGCUUCGGCGGUGGAAAGAGCGACCGAAUUUUGCUUCUUUGAAGCCCAAGACACCAAGGAUCUUCCCAAGAACUGGCAAGUCCCCGAUGUGCUCUUCCUAUUGAUUUUGCACCCCGCCCAAUCGGCAUCCGAAUAACCAAUCAAAUCAAAUGUGGAUCCCCUAGGAUACCAAAGCCCAAACUUAGGAGUAUAAGCCAAAUAUCUCAAGAUUCGUUUUACGGCCGUAAGGUGAGCUUCCUUAGGGUCGGCUUGGAAUCUUGCACACAUGCAUACGGAAAGCAUAAUAUCCGGUCGAGAUGCACAUAAAUAGAGUAAAGAACCUAUCAUCGACCGGUAUACCUUUUGAUCCACGGACUUACCUCCCGUGUCGAGGUCGAGAUGCCCAUUAGUUCCCAUGGGAGUCUUGAUGGGCUUGGCAUCCUUCAUCCCAAACUUGUUUAGAAUGUCUUGAGUAUACUUCGUUUGGCUAAUGAAGGUGCCUUCUUGGAGUUGCUUCACUUGAAAUCCCAAGAAGUACUUCAACUCCCCCAUCAUAGACAUCUCGAACUUUUGUGUCAUGAUCCUACUAAACUCUUCGCAUGUAGAUUCGUUAGUAGACCCAAAUAUAAUAUCAUCAACAUAAAUUUGGCAUACAAACAAAUCAUUCUCAAGUGUUUUGGUAAAGAGCGUAGGAUCGGCCUUUCCGACUUUGAAGCCAUUAGCUAUAAGGAAAUCUCUAAGGCAUUCAUACCAUGCUCUUGGGGCUUGCUUGAGCCCAUAAAGCGCCUUAGAGAGUUUAUAAACAUGGUUAGGGUACUCACUAUCUUCAAAGCCGGGAGGUUGUUUAACAUAGACCUCUUCCUUGAUUGGUCCAUUGAGGAAGGCACUUUUCACGUCCAUUUGAUAAAGCUUAAAGCCAUGGUAAGUAGCAUAGGCCAAUAAUAUUCGAAUUGACUCAAGCCUAGCUACGGGUGCAUAGGUUUCACCGAAAUCCAAACCUUCGACUUGGGAGUAUCCUUUGGCCACAAGUCGAGCUUUGUUCCUUGUCACCACACCAUGCUCAUCUUGCUUGUUGCGGAAGACCCAUUUGGUUCCUACAACAUUUUGAUUAGGACGUGGAACUAAAUGCCAUACCUCAUUCCUAGUGAAGUUGUUGAGCUCCUCUUGCAUUGCCACCACCCAAUCCGAAUCUUGUAGUGCUUCCUCUACCCUGUGUGGCUCAAUAGAGGAAACAAAAGAGUAAUGCUCACAAAAAUGUGCAAUUCGAGAUCUAGUGGUUACCCCCUUAUGAAUGUCGCAGAGGAUGGUGUCGACGGGGUGAUCUCGUUGAAUUGCUUGGUGGACUCUUGGGUGUGGCGGUCUUUGUUCUUCAUCCUCCUUGUCUUGAUCAUUUGCAUCUCCCCCUUGAUCAUUGUCGUCAUCUUGAGGUGGCUCAUUUGCUUGAUCUUCUGUUUCGUCAACUUGAGCUUCUUCCUCAUUUUGAGUCGGUGGAGAUGCUUGCGUGGAGGAGGAUGGUUGAUCUUGUGCACUUGGAGGCUCUUCGGAUUCCUUAGGACACACAUCCCCAAUGGACAUGUUCCUUAGCGCGAUGCAUGGAGCCUCUUCAUUACCUAUCUCAUCAAGAUCAACUUGCUCUACUUGAGAGCCAUUAGUCUCAUCAAACACAACGUCACAAGAAACUUCAACUUGUCCAGUGGACUUGUUAAAGACUCUAUAUGCCCUUGUGUUUGAAUCAUAUCCUAGUAAAAAGCCUUCUACUGUCUUAGGAGCAAAUUUAGAUUUUCUACCUCUUUUAACAAGAAUAAAGCAUUUGCUACCAAAGACUCUAAAAUAUGAAAUGUUGGGGUUUUUACCGGUUAGGAGUUCGUAUGAUGUCUUCUUGAGGAUUCGGUGUAGAUACAACCGGUUGAUGGCGUAGCAAGCGGUGUUGACCGCCUCGGCCCAAAACCGAUCCGAAGUCUUGUACUCAUCAAGCAUGGUCCUUGCCAUGUCCAAUAGAGUUCGAUUCUUCCUCUCCACUACACCAUUUUGUUGUGGUGUGUAGGGAGAAGAGAACUCAUGCUUGAUGCCCUCCUCCUCAAGGAAGCCUUCGAUUUGAGAGUUCUUGAACUCCGUUCCGUUGUCGCUUCUAAUUUUCUUGAUCCUUAAGCCGAACUCGUUUUGAGCUCGUCUCAAGAUUCCCUUUAAGGUCUCUUGGGUUUGAGAUUUUUCCUGUAAAAAGAAUACCCAAGUGAAGCGAGAAUAAUCAUCCACUAUUACAAGACAAUACUUACUCCCGCCGAUGCUUAUGUAAGCAAUCGGGCCGAAUAGAUCCAUGUGGAGUAGCUCAAGCGGCCUGUUGGUCGUCAUGAUGUUCUUGUUUAGAUGAUGGGCACCAACUUGCUUUCCUGCUUGGCAUGCGCUACAAACCCUGUCUUUCUCAAAAUGAACAUUUGUUAGUCCUAAAAUGUGUUCUCCCUUUAGAAGCUUACGAAGAUUCUUCAUCCCAACAUGGGCUAGUCGGCGGUGCCAGAGCCAACCCAUGUUAGUCUUAGCAAUUAAGCAUGUGUCGAGUUCAGCUCUAUCAAAAUCUACUAAGUAUAGCUGACCCUCUAACACACCCUUAAAUGCUAUUGAAUCAUCACUUCUUCUAAAGACAGUGACACCUACAUCAGUAAAGAGACAGUUGUAGCCCAUUUUGCAUAAUUGAGAUACAGAAAGCAAAUUGUAAUCUAAAGAAUCUACAAGAAAAACAUUGGAAAUAGAAUGGUCAGGGGAUAUAGCAAUUUUACCCAAUCCUUUGACCAAACCUUGGUUUCCAUCCCCGAAUGUGAUCGCUCGUUGGGGAUCUUGGUUUUUCUCGUAGGAGGAGAACAUCUUCUUCUCCCCUGUCAUGUGGUUUGUGCACCCGCUGUCGAUGAUCCAACUUGAGCCCCCGGAUGCAUAAACCUACAAAACAAGUUUAGUUCUUGACUUUAGGUACCCAAAUGGUUUUGGGUCCUUUGGCAUUAGAUACAAGAACUUUGGGUACCCAAACACAAGUCUUUGACCCCUUGUGCUUGCCCCCAACAUAUUUGGCAACUACUUUGCCGGAUUUGUUAGUCAACACAUAAGAUGCAUCAAAAGUUUUAAAUGAAAGACUAUGUUCAUUUGAUGCACUAGGAGUUUUCUUCAUAGGCAACUUAGCAUGGGUUGGUUGCCUAGAACUAGAUGUCUCACCCUUAUAUAUAAAAGCAUGAUUUGGGCUAGAGUGAGACUUCCUAGAGUGAAUUCUCCUAAUCUUGCUCUCAGGAUAACCGGCAGGGUACAAAAUGUAACCCUCGUUAUCUUGAGGCAUGGGAGCCUUGCCCUUUACAAAAUUAGACAAUUUUUUAGGAGGGGCAUUAAGUUUGACAUUGUCUCCCCUUUGGAAGCCAAUGCCAUCCUUGAUGCCAGGGCGUCUCCCACUAUAGAGCAUACUUCUAGCAAAUUUAAAUUUCUCAUUUUCUAAGUUAUGCUCUGCAAUUUUAGCAUCUAAUUUUGCUAUAUGAUCAUUUUGUUGUUUAAUUAAAGACAUGUGAUCAUGAAUAGCAUUAAUAUCAACAUCUCUACAUCUAGUACAAAUAGAUACAUGCUCAACAAAAGAUGUAGAGGGUUUGCAAGAUUUUAAUUCUACAACCUUAGCUUGUAACAUGUCGUUCUUAGUUCUAAGGUCGGAAAUAGUAGCAUUGCAAACAUCAAAAUCUUUAGCCUUAGCAAGCAAUUUUUCAUUUUCAAUCUUAAGGCUAGCAAGAGAAAUGUUCAAUUCUUCAAUUCUAGCAAGUAAAUCAUCAUCAUUAUUUCUAGAAUUGGUAAUUGAAACAUUACAAACAUGAGAAUCAACCUUAGCUAACAAAUUAGCAUUUUCAUUUCUAAGGUUGUCUAUUGUCUCAUGGCAAGUGCUUAGCUCACUAGAUAAUUUUUCACAUUUCUCAAUUUCUAGAGCAUAAGCAUUUUUAACCUUAACAUGUUUCUUAUUUUCCUUAAUUAGAAAGUCCUCUUGGGAAUCCAAAAGGUCAUCCUUUUCAUGAAUAGCACUAAUUAAUUCAUUUAAUUUUUCUUUUUGUUCCAUGUUAAGGUUGGCAAAAAGGGUACGCAAAUUAUCUUCCUCAUCACUAGCAUUAUCAUCACUAGAGGACUCAUAUCUAGUGGAGGAUUUAGAUUUAACCUUCUUCUUUUUGCCGUCUUUUGCCAUGAGGCACUUGUGGCCGACGUUGGGGAAGAGAAGUCCCUUGGUGACGGCGAUGUUGGCGGCGUCCUCGUCGGAGGAGGAGUCGCUAGAGCUUUCGUCGGAGUCCCACUCCCGACAAACAUGGGCAUCGCCGCCCUUCUUCUUGUAGUACCUCUUCUUCUCCUUUCUUCUCCCCUUUUUGUCGUCGCCCCUGUCACUAUCACUUGAUAAUGGGCAUUUAGCUAUAAAGUGACCGGGCUUACCACACUUGUAGCAAACCUUCUUGGAGCGGGACUUGUAGUCUUUCCCUCUCCUUUGCUUGAGGAUUUGGCGGAAGCUCUUGAUGACGAGCGCCAUUUCCUCAUUGUCGAGCUUGGAGGCGUCGAUUGGUUGUCUACUUGGUGUAGACUCCUCCUUCUUUUCCUCCGUCGCCUUGAAUGCGACGGGUUGAGCUUCGGAUGUGGAGGGAUCAUCAAGCUCGUUGAUCUUCCUCGAGCCUUCGAUCAUGCACUCAAAACUUACAAAAUUCCCGAUUACUUCCUCGGGGGUCAUUAGUGUAUAUCUUGGGUUGCCACGGAUUAAUUGAACUUGAGUAGGGUUAAGGAAAAUAAGAGAUCUUAGAAUAACCUUAACCACCUCGUGGUCAUCCCACUUUUUGCUCCCGAGGUUGCGCACUUGAUUCACCAAGGUCUUGAGCCGGUUGUACAUGUUUUGUGGCUCCUCCCCUUUGCGAAGCCGGAACCGACCGAGCUCCCCCUCGAUCGUCUCCCGCUUGGUGAUCUUUGUGAGCUCAUCUCCUUCGUGUGCGGUUUUGAGCACAUCCCAAACCUCCUUGGCGCUCUUCAACCCUUGCACUUUGUUAUACUCCUCUCUACUUAGAGAAGCGAGGAGUAUUGUUGUUGCUUGAGAGUUGAAGUGCUCGAUUUGGGCAACCUCGUCCUCAUCAUAAUCUUCAUCCCCUACGGAUGGUACCUGUGCACCAAACUCAACAACAUCCCAUAUACUUUUGUGGAGUGAGGUUAGAUGAAAUCGCAUUAAAUCACUCCACCUAGCGUAAUCUUCACCAUCAAGAGUUGGUGGUUUGCCUAAUGGGACGGAAAGUAAAGGUGUAUGUUUAGAUAUGCGAGGGUAGCGUAGGGGAAUCUUACUAUACUUCUUACGCUCUUGGCGCUUAGAAGUGACGGACGCCGCGUCGGAGCCGGAGAUGGAUGCCGAUGAAGAAUCGGUCUCGUAGUAGACCACUUUCCUCAUCUUCUUUUUCUUGUCUCCACUCCAAUGCGGCUUGUGAGAAGAGGAUUUCUCCUUCUUCUCUUUGUGUGAAGAAGAUUUCUUCUCCUUCCCUUUGGACGAGUCCUUCUUUUUCUCCUUCCCUUUGGAGGAGUCUUUCUUCUUCUCCCUCUUGGUGCGGGACUCUUCCGAUGAAGUGCUCCCGUGGCUUGUAGUGGGCUUUUCGCCGGUCUCCAUCUCCUUCUUGGCGUGAUCUCCCGACAUUACUUCGAGCGGUUUGGCUCUAAUGAAGCACCGGGCUUUGAUACCAAUUGAUAGUCGCCUAGAGGGGGGUGAAUAGGGCGAAACUGAAAUUUACAAAUAUAAACACAACUACAAGCCGGGUUAGCGUUAGAAAUAAAAACGAGUUCGCGAGAGAGGGUGGAAAACAAAUCGCAAGCAAAUGAAGAGUGUGACACGCGGAUUUGUUUUACCGAGGUUCGGUUCUUGCAAACCUACUCCCCGUUGAGGAGGCCACAAAGGUGAGAGCACCUAGAGGGGGGGGGGGGUGAAUAGGUGAUCCUGUAAAACUUCAAAACUUAAGCCACAAAAACUUGUUAAGUGUUAGCACAAUUAUGGCCAAGUGGCUAGAGAGGAGUCAAAACACAAUAACCACAAGAAAUCAAUCACAGAGAUGACACGGUGGUUAUCCCGUGGUUCGGCCAAGUACAAAACUUGCCUACUCCACGUUGUGGCGUCCCAACGGACGAGAGUUGCACUCAACUCCUCUCAAGUGAUCCAAUGAUCAACUUGAAUACCACGGUGUUCUUCUUUUCUUUUCUCAAUCCCGUUUGCGAGGAAUCUCCACACUUUGGAGCCUCUCGCCCUUACAAAAGAUGUUCACAGAGAAUCACAGAGCAAGGGAGGGAUUAGCAACUCACACACGACACAAAGAUCACAGCGAAUACGCACACACAAGACCCAGACUUGAGCUCAAGAGACUAGCACACUAGAACGGAGCUCAAAUCACUAGAAUGUCGAACAAGUGCGCAAAAUUGAUGUGUGAGUGAUCAAGAGUGCUCAAGGAAUGCUUGGUUCUCUCCUCCAUGCGCCUAGGGGUCCCUUUUAUAGCCCCAAGGCAGCUAGGAGCCGUUGAGAACAAAUCUGGAAGGCCAUCCUUGCCUUCUGUAGUCGGGCGCACCGGACAGUCCGGUGCACACCGGAUACUGUCCGGUGCCCGAUUUCUUUCCUUAACAGUCGCAGCCGACCGUUGCCAACCGUUGCAGAUCUGGCGCACCGGACAGUCCGGUGCCUCCUUCCGACCGUUGGCCAGACCACGUGUCGCGCGCAGAUUCCGCGGCCGACCGUUGGCUCGGCCGACCGUUGGCUCACCGGACAGUCCGGUGCACACCGGACAGUCCGGUGAAUUAUAGCCGUACGCCGUCGGCAAAAUUCCCGAGAGCGGCCUCUUCGCCCGAGGCAGCCUGGCGCACCGGACACUGUCCGGUGCACCACCGGACAGUCCGGUGCCCCAGACCGAAACAGCCUGUUGGCUGUACACAGCCAACAUUCUCCUUUUCUUCUUCUCUCUGUUUCUAACACUUAGACAAAUAUAUUAGUACACAAACCAAUGUACUAAGGCUUAGAAACAUACCUUUACUUGUGAUUUGCACUUUGUUCAUCCAUGGGCAUAGAUUCACAUUAAAGCACUUGUGUUGACACUUAAUCACCAAAAUACUUAGAAAUGGCCCAAGGGCACAUUUCCCUUUCAAUCUCCCCCUUUUUGGUGAUUUAUGCCAACACAACAUAAAGCAACUAGAACAAGUGCGAAAUCACUUCAAAUAGAAUAAAUUUGAGUUCUAUUCAAUUUUGGCAUAUAUGGAUCAUCCUUUGCCACCACUUGGUUUGUUUUUGCAAAUCAAACUCAAAUCUCUAUCUCUAAGUCAAACACACAUGUUGAAGCACAAAGAGAGUCAUUCCAAAAGAGAUUGAUCAAAGAUUUCAAAAACUCCCCCUUUUUCCCAUAAUUACUACUUCUCCCCACAAGAAGCCAACUUUUGACGAAAGAGAUAAUGAAAGAGUUUUGACAAAUCAAAAGCUCUACUCUACUAUUUUCAAAUCUCUCAAGUGGUAGCUGAUCCAUUUAUUGCUUUGGCCUUUAUUUUCUCCCCCUUUGGCAUCAAGCACCAAAACGGGAUCAAUCUUGGCCCUUUAACCCCAUUGCCUCACCAAAAUCUUCAAUUAAGAUCAAUUGGCAAUAAGAGUUCAUGAGAUGGACUUGGAAUAAGUUACCCUCUCAUCGGAGUGCAGUGGAAGUCUUUCAUGGUCCAAGUCCACCUUUUCCCUUUCAAUUUUCCUUCGAGACUAAAUCAAGCAAUCUCAAGCAUAUGGUUAGUCUCAAAGGGUCAAGUUGUAACACAUCUCCCCCUAAACAUGUGCAUCACUUUGCAACGGACUUGUGAGGUCCAGGGAGUGUUUGUACAACUUGAGCACCAUAAUAAGCAACAAAAUGCAGAAUGAACAUGAUCAAAGGCAUAAACACAUGUAUGCUACAAUUCAAUCCAAGUUCCGCGAAUCUAAUACAUUUAGCUCACUACGCAGCCUGCAAAAGGUCUUCUCAUCUAGAGGCUUGGUAAAGAUAUCGGCUAGCUGGUUCUCGGUGCUAACAUGAAACACUUCGAUAUCCCCCUUUUGCUGGUGGUCUCUCAAAAAGUGAUGCCGGAUGUCUAUGUGCUUUGUGCGGCUGUGCUCAACAGGAUUUUCCGCCAUGCGGAUAGCACUCUCAUUGUCACAUAGGAGUGGGACUUUGCUCAGAUUGUAGCCAAAGUCCCGGAGGGUUUGACUCAUCCAAAGUAGUUGCGCGCAACACUGUCCUGCGGCAACGUACUCGGCCUCAGCGGUGGAUAGGGCAACGGAAGUUUGUUUCUUAGAGUUCCACGACACCAGGGACCUUCCUAAGAAUUGGCACGUCCCCGAUGUGCUCUUCCUAUCGACCUUACAUCCAGCAUAGUCGGAGUCUGAGUAUCCAACCAAGUCAAAGGUAGACCCCUUUGGAUACCAGAGCCCGAAGCAAGGCGUAGCAACUAAAUAUCUCAGAAUUCGCUUCACCGCCACUAAGUGACACUCCUUAGGAUCGGAUUGAAAUCUAGCACACAUGCAUACGCUAAGCAUAAUAUCCGGUCUACUAGCACAUAAAUAAAGUAAUGACCCUAUCAUUGACCGGUAUGCUUUUUGAUCAACGGACUUACCUCCUUUGGUGAGGUCGGUGUGCCCGUCGGUUCCCAUCGGAGUUUUUGCGGGCUUGGCGUCCUUCAUCCCAAACCGCUUUAGCAGAUCUUGCGUGUACUUCGUUUGGGAGAUGAAGGUGCCGUCCUUGAGUUGCUUCACUUGGAACCCAAGGAAGUAGUUCAACUCUCCCAUCAUCGACAUCUCGAAUUUAUGCGUCAUCACCCUGCUAAACUCUUCACAAGACUUUUGGUUAGUAGAACCAAAUAUUAUGUCAUCGACAUAAAUUUGGCACACAAACAAAUCACCAUCACAUGUCUUUGUAAAAAGAGUUGGAUCGGCUUUCCCAACCUUGAAAGCAUUAACAAUUAAAAAGUCUCUAAGGCAUUCAUACCAUGCUCUUGGGGCUUGCUUAAGUCCAUAGAGCGCCUUAGAGAGCUUACACACAUGGUCGGGGUACCGUUCAUCCUCGAAGCCAGGGGGUUGCUCUACGUACACCUCCUCCUUGAUUGGCCCGUUAAGGAAAGCGCUCUUCACAUCCAUUUGGUACAACCUGAAAGAGUGAUGAGCGGCAUAUGCUAGCAAGAUACGAAUUGAUUCUAGCCUAUCCACAGGAGCAAAAGUCUCCUCGAAAUCCAAACCUGCGACUUGGGCAUAUCCUUUUGCCACAAGUCGAGCCUUGUUUCUCGUCACCACUCCGUGCUCGUCUUGUUUGUUGCGGAACACCCACUUGGUUCCCACAACAUUUUGCUUAGGACGAGGCACCAGUGUCCAAACUUCAUUCCUCUUGAAGUUGUUGAGCUCCUCCUGCAUGGCCAACACCCAGUCCGGAUCUAGUAAGGCCUCCUCUACCCUGAAAGGCUCAAUAGAAGAGACAAAGGAGUAAUGCUCACAAAAAUUAACUAAUCGAGACCGAGUAGUUACUCCCUUGCUAAUGUCACCUAGAAUUUGGUCGACGGGAUGAUCCCUUUGAAUCAUCGCUCGAACUUGGGUUGGAGGUGCCGGUUGCGCUUCUUCCUCCAUUACAUUAUCAACUUGUGCUCCCCCUUGAUCACACGCCUCCACUUGAGGUACCUGUUCGUCAUCUUGUGUUGGGGGAUGCACCACGGUUGAGGAAGAAGGUUGAUCUUGCUCCAAGUGUUCCUGUGGUCGCACAUCACCAAUCGCCAUGGUGCGCAUAGCGGCCGUUGGAACAUCUUCUUCAUCUACAUCAUCAAGAUCAACAGCUUGCUCUCUUGGAGAGCCAUUAGUCUCAUCAAAUACAACGUCGCUAGAGACUUCAACCAAACCCGAUGAUUUGUUGAAGACUCUAUACACCUUUGUAUUUGAGUCAUAACCUAAUAAAAACCCUUCUACUGCUUUGGGAGCAAACUUAGAAUUUCUACCCUUCUUCACUAGAAUGUAGCACUUGCUCCCAAAUACACGAAAAUAAGAUACAUUGGGUUUGUUACCGGUUAGUAGCUCAUACGACGUCUUCUUGAGGAGGCGAUGAAGGUAGACCCUGUUGAUGGCGUGGCAAGCCGUGUUCACGGCUUCCGUCCAAAAGCACUCGGGGGUCUUGAACUCUCCUAGCAUCGUCCUCGCCAUGUCGAUGAGCGUCCUGUUCUUCCUCUCUACCACACCAUUUUGUUGUGGUGUGUAGGGAGCGGAGAACUCGUGCUUGAUCCCUUCCUCUUCAAGGAACUCCUCCACUUGAAGGUUCUUGAACUCGGACCCGUUGUCACUCCUUAUCUUCUUCACCUUGAGCUCAAACUCAUUUUGAGCUCUCCUGAGGAAGCGCUUGAGGGUCCCUUGGGUUUCAGACUUAUCCUGCAAAAAGAACACCCAAGUGAAGCGGGAAAAAUCAUCUACAAUAACUAGACCAUACUUACUCCCUCCUAUGCUCAGAUAGGCGACGGGUCCGAAGAGGUCCAUAUGCAGCAGCUCCAGAGGUCUUGAAGUGGUCAUCACAUUCUUGCUGUGAUGCGUUCCUCCCACUUGUUUACCUGCUUGACAAGCUGCACAAGGUCUAUCUUUUUCGAAUUGAACGUUAGUCAAACCUAUCACGUGUUCUCCCUUUAGAAGCUUGUGGAGGUUCUUCAUCCCCACAUGUGCUAAGCGGCGAUGCCACAGCCAGCCCAUGCUAGUCUUAGCUAUUAAGCAUGCAUCUAGACCGGCCUCUUCUUUUGCAAAAUCAACUAAAUAAAGUUUGCCGUCUAAUACACCCUUAAAAGCUAGUGAACCAUCACUUCUUCUAAAGACAGACACAUCUACAUUUGUAAAUAGACAGUUAUACCCCAUGUUGCAUAAUUGACUAACAGAUAGCAAAUUAUAACCAAGAGACUCUACUAAAAACACAUUAGAGAUAGAGUGCUCAUUAGAAAUUGCAAUUUUACCUAACCCUUUUACCUUGCCUUGAUUCCCAUCACCGAAUACAAUUGAAUCUUGGGAAUCCUUAUUUUUGACGUAGGAGGUGAACAUCUUCUUCUCCCCCGUCAUAUGGUUUGUGCAUCCGCUGUCGAUAAUCCAGCUUGAACCCCCGGAUGCAUAAACCUGCAAGGCAAAUUUAGGCUUGGGUUUUAGGUACCCAACUCAUGUUGGGUCCUAUAAGGUUAGCACAAAUAUCUUUAGGGACCCAAAUGCAAGUUUUGUCUCCCUUGCAUCUUGCCCCUAACUUCCUAGCAACAAUUUUCUUAUCCUUUCUACAAAUAGCGAAGGAAGCAUUUAAAGCACAAUAAAUUUUGGAAGGUUCAUUCACUACUUUCUUAGGAGCAUUAUGAAUUACAUUUCUCCUAGGCAUUUGGUGAACAACAUUUCUUCUAAACACAUUUCUACCAUGCAUAACAUGAGAACUAGAAGCAGUCAUAGCAUAAGAGUCAUAAGCAUGUGAAUCAAAAACAUCAUUACCUCUAAAAGCAUUUCUAGAGUAUCUCCUAUCAUAGUACAUGAAAGCAUGAUUCUUCUUAACACUAUUAGCCAUAGGAGCCUUCCCUUUCUCCUUGGUGGAGACAGGAGUCUUAUGGCUUGUUAAGUUCUUGGCUUCCCUCUUGAAGCCAAGCCCAUCCUUAAUUGAGGGGUGUCUACCAAUAGUGUAGGCAUCCCUUGCAAAUUUUAGUUUUUCAAAUUCACUCUUGCUAGUCUUAAGUUGGGCAUUAAGACUAGCUAAUUCAUCAUUCAAUUUUGAAAUGGAAACUAAGUGUUCACUAUAGGCAUUAAUAUCAACAUCCUUGCACCUAGUGCAAAUUUCAACAUGUUCAACACAAGAGUUGGAUUUAUGUGCUUCUACUAGUUUAGCAUUUAAGUCAUCAUUAAUGCUCUUUAAUUUAGAAAUAGAAUCAUGGCAUGUUGACACUUCACAAGCAAGCAUUUCAUUCCUCUUAAUUUCUAAUGCAAGGGAUUUUUGAGCCUCUACAAACUUAUCAUGUUCUUCAUACAACAAAUCCUCUUGCUUUUCUAAAAGUAUAUUCUUUUCAUUCAAGGCAUCAAUUAAUUCAUUAAUUUUGUCUAUCUUAGAUCUAUCUAAGCCCUUGAACAAACAUGAAUAAUCUACUUCAUCCUCAUCACUAGAUUCGUCCUCACUUGAAGAAGCAUAGGUAGAGUUGCGAGUACAUACCUUCUUCUCCCUUGCCAUAAGGCAUGUGUGACGCUCGUUUGGGAAGAGGAUUGAUUUGUUGAAGGCGGUGGCGGCGAGUCCUUCAUUGUCGGAGUCGGAAGAGGAGCAAUCCGAGUCCCACUCCUUGCCUAGAUGCGCCUCCCCCUUUGCCUUCUUGUAAUGCUUCUUCUUUUCCCUCUUGUUUCCCUUUUCCUGGUCACUAUCAUUAUCGGGGCAGUUAGCGAUAAAAUGACCAAUCUUACCGCACUUGAAGCAUGAGCGCUUCCCCUUCGUCUUGGUCUUGCUUGGCUGCCCCUUGUGACCCUUUAGCACCGUCUUGAAGCGUUUGAUGAUGAGAGCCAUCUCUUCAUCAUUAAGUCCGACCGCCUCAAUUUGUGCCACCUUGCUAGGUAGCGCCUCCUUGCUUCUUGUUGCUUUGAGAGCAAAAGGUUGUGGUUCGUUGAUCAGUCCAUUCAAGGCGUCGUCCACGUACCUUGCCUCCUUGAUCAUCAUUCGCCCGCUGACGAAUUUUCCUAAGACUUCUUCGGGCGACAUUUUGGUGUACCUGGGAUUCUCACGAAUAUUAUUCACCAAAUGAGGAUCAAGAACGGUAAAGGACCUUAGCAUUAGUCGGACGACGUCGUGGUCCGUCCAUCGCGUGCUUCCGUAGCUCCUUAUUUUGUUGAUAAGGGUCUUGAGCCGGUUGUAUGUUUGAGUUGGCUCCUCGCCCCUUAUCAUCGCGAACCGUCCAAGCUCGCCCUCCACCAACUCCAUUUUGGUGAGCAAGGUAGCGUCAUUUCCCUCAUGAGAGAUCUUGAGGGUAUCCCAGAUUUGCUUGGCGUUAUCCAAGCCACUCACUUUGUUAUAUUCAUCCCUGCACAAUGAAGCUAGAAGAACAGUAGUAGCUUGUGCAUUCUUAUGGAUUUGCUCAUUAAUGAAUAUAGGACUAUCCGAACUAUUAAAGUGCAUUCCACUAUCUACAAUCUCCCAUAUACUAGGAUGGAGAGAGAAUAGGUGACUACGCAUUUUGUGGCUCCAAAAUCCGUAGUCUUCUCCAUCAAAGUGUGGGGGCUUGCCAAGUGGAAUGGAAAGCAAAUGUGAAUUUGAACUUUGCGGAAUACGAGAGUAGUCAAAAGAAAAGUUAGAAUUAACCGGUUUCCUUUGCUCGUAGUCGUUGUCCUUUUGGGAAGAGGAAGAUUCGUCGCUGUCGUCGUAGUAGACGAUCUCCUUGAUGCGCCUUGUCUUCUUCUUCUUCCCUUCCUUCCGUCUAUGGCCCGAGCCGGAGUCGGUAGGCUUGUCAUCUUUGGGCUCGUUGACAAAGGACUCCUUCUCCUUGUCGUUGAUCACGAUUCCCUUCCCCUUAGGAUCCAUCUCUUCGGGCGGUUAGUCCCUUUCUUGAAGAGAACGCCUCUGAUACCAAUUGAGAGCACCUAGAGGGGGGGGUGAAUAGGUGAUCCUGUAAAACUUCAAAACUUAAGCCACAAAAACUUGUUAAGUGUUAGCACAAUUAUGGCCAAGUGGCUAGAGAGGAGUCAAAACACAAUAACCACAAGAAAUCAAUCACAGAGAUGACACGGUGGUUAUCCCGUGGUUCGGCCAAGUACAAAACUUGCCUACUCCACGUUGUGGCGUCCCAACGGACGAGAGUUGCACUCAACUCCUCUCAAGUGAUCCAAUGAUCAACUUGAAUACCACGGUGUUCUUCUUUUCUUUUCUCAAUCCCGUUUGCGAGGAAUCUCCACACUUUGGAGCCUCUCGCCCUUACAAAAGAUGUUCACAGAGAAUCACAGAGCAAGGGAGGGAUUAGCAACUCACACACGACACAAAGAUCACAGCGAAUACGCACACACAAGACCCAGACUUGAGCUCAAGAGACUAGCACACUAGAACGGAGCUCAAAUCACUAGAAUGUCGAACAAGUGCGCAAGAUUGAUGUGUGAGUGAUCAAGAGUGCUCAAGGAAUGCUUGGUUCUCUCCUCCCUGCGCCUAGGGGUCCCUUUUAUAGCCCCAAGGCAGCUAGGAGCCGUUGAGAACAAAUCUGGAAGGCUAUCCUUGCCUUCUGUAGUCGGGCGCACCGGACAGUCCGGUGCACACCGGAUACUGUCCGGUGCCCGAUUUCUUUCCUUAACAGUCGCAGCCGACCGUUGCCAACCGUUGCAGAUCUGGCGCACCGGACAGUCCGGUGCACACCGGACAGUCCGGUGCCUCCUUCCGACCGUUGCCCAGACCACGUGUCGCGCGCAGAUUCCGUGGCCGACCGUUGGCUCGACCGACCGUUGGCUCACCGGACAGUCCGGUGCACACCGGACAGUCCGGUGAAUUAUAGUCGUACGCCGUCGGCAAAAUUCCCGAGAGCGGCCUCUUCGUCCGAGGCAGCCUGGCGCACCGGACACUGUCCGGUGCACCACCGGACAGUCCGGUGCCCCAGACCGAAACAGCCUGUUGGCUGUACACAACCAACAUUCUCCUUUUCUUCUUCUCUCUAUUUUUAACACUUAGACAAAUAUAUUAGUACACAAACCAAUGUACUAAGGCUUAGAAACAUACCUUUACUUGUGAUUUGCACUUUGUUCAUCCAUGGGCAUAGAUUCACAUUAAAGCACUUGUGUUGACACUUAAUCACCAAAAUACUUAGAAAUGGCCCAAGGGCACAUUUCCCUUUCAAAAGGCCGGGUCUCUUUCAACCCUUCCCUCUCUCAAACGGUCCCUCGGACCGAGUGAGCUUCUCUUCUCAAAUCACUUGGGAAUCAAACUUCCCGCAAGGACCACCACACACUUGGUGUCUCUUGCCUCAAUUACAAGUGAGUGUUUGAUCACAAGAAAGAAUGCCAAAGAAAAGAAGCGAUCCAAGCGCAAGAGCUCAAAUGAACACUACAAAUCACUCUCUCUAGUCACUAAGGCUUUGUGUGGAGUUGGGAGAGGAUUUGAUCUCUUUUGGUGUGCCUUGCAAUGAAUGCUAGCUCUUGUAUAGUGGUUGGAAGCUGGAAAACUUGGAUGCAAUGAAUGGUGGGGUGGUUGGGGUAUUUAUAGCCCCAACCACCAAACAUGACCGUUGGUGGAGGCUGUCUGUCGUAUGGUGCACCGGACAGUCCGGUGCACACCGGACAUGUCCGGUGCGCCAGCCACGUCACCAAUGCCGUUGGAAUUUGACCGUUGGAGUUCUGACUUCUGGGCCCGCCUGGAUGUCCGGUGCACACCAGACAUGUACUGUUCAAUGUCCGGUGCGCCAGAAUGGGCGUGCCUGACUUCUGCGCGCUUCUGGCGCGCAUUGAAUGCGCCUGCAGGUAGCCGUUGGCGCGAAGUAGUCGUUGCUCCGGAGUUGCACCGGACAGUCCGGUGUACACCGGACAUGUCCGGUGAAUUAUAGCGGAACAGCCGUUCUGAAUUCCCGAGGCUGCCGAGUUCCAGAGCCGCGUUCCUUUGGAGCACCGGACACUGUCCGGUGUACACCGGACAGUCCGGUGAAUUAUAGCGCGCCGGCUUCUGGAAAUUCCCGAGGCUGAGGAGUUCUGCGCGAGGUCCCCUGGUGCACCGGACACUGUCCGGUGCGCCACCGGACAGUCCGGUGCGCCAGACCAGGGAGCCUUUCGGGAUGCCUUUGGCUCUUUAAUUUGAACCCAACUUUGGUCUUUUUAAUUGGCUUGUUGUGAACCUUUGACACCUGUAUAACUUAUACACUAGAGCAAACUAGUUAGUCCAAUUGUUUGUGUUGGGCAAUUCAACCACCAAAAUUAAUUAGGGACUAGGUGUAAGCCUAAUUCCCUUUCACAACCAAUCGAUGCCUCAAAGCUCGACAACGAGGAGAUGGCGCUUGUCAUCAAAAGCUUUCGGCAAAUCCUCAAGCAAAGAAGGGGGAAGGAUUACAAGCCCCGCUCCAAGAAGGUUUGCUACAAGUGUGGUAAGCCCGGUCACUUUAUAGCUAAAUGUCCAAUUUCUAGUGACAGUGACAGGGGUGAUGACAAGAAGGGGAGAAGAAAGGAGAAGAAGAGGUACUACAAGAAGAAGGGCGGCGAUGCCCAUGUUUGUCGGGAGUGGGACUCCGACGAAAGCUCUAGCGACUCCUCCUCCGACGAGGACGCUGCCAACAUCGCCGUCACCAAGGGACUUCUCUUCCCCAACGUCGGCCACAAGUGUCUCAUGGCAAAGGACGGCAAAAGGAAGAAGGUUAAAUCUAAAUCCUCCACUAGAUAUGAGUCCUCUAGUGAUGAUAAUGCUAGUGAUGAGGAAGAUAAUUUGCGUACCCUUUUUGCCAACCUUAACAUGGAACAAAAAGAAAAACUAAAUGAGGUAAUUAGUGUCAUCCAUGAGAAGGAUGAUCUCUUGGACUCCCAAGAAGACUUCCUAAUCAAGGAAAAUAAAAAGCAUGUUAAGGUUAAGAAUGCUCAUGCUCUAGAGGUAGAAAAAUGUGAGAAAUUAACUAGUGAGCUAAGCACAUGCCAUGACUCUAUUGCCAACCUUAGAAAUGAAAAUGCUAAUUUGUUAGCUAAGGUUGAUUCUCAUGUUUGUAAUGUUUCAACUUCCAAUCCUAGAGAUAAUGAUGAUGAUUUACUUGCUAGGAUUGAAGAAUUGAAUGUUUCACUUGCUAGCCUUAGAAAUGAAAAUGAAAAAUUGCUUGCUAAGGCUAAAGAUUUUGAUGUUUGCAAUACUACUAUUUCCGACCUUAGAACUAAGAAUGAUAUGUUACAUGCUAAGGUUGUAGAAUUAAAAUCUUGCAAACCCUCUACAUCUACCGUUGAGCACACUACCAUUUGUACUAGAUGUAGAGAUGUUAACAUUGAUGUUAUACAUGAUCACAUGGCUUUAAUUAAACAACAAAAUGAUCAUAUAGCAAAAUAGAUGCUAAAAUUGUCGAGCAUAACUUAGAAAAUGAAAAAUUUAAAUUUGCUAGAAGUAUGCUCUAUAGUGGGAGACGCCCUGGCAUCAAGGAUGGCAUUGGCUUCCAACAGGGAGGCAAUGUCAAACUUAAUGCCCCUCCAAAGAAAUUGUCCAACUUUGUUAAGGGCAAGGCUCCCAUGCCUCAAGAUAACGAGGGUGACAUUUUAUACCCUGCCGGUUAUCCCGAGUACAAAAUUAGGAGAAUUCAUUCUAGGAAGUCUCACUCUGGCCCUAAUCAUGCUUUCAUGUAUAAGGGUGAGACAUCUAGCUCUAGGCAACCAACCCAUGCUAAGUUGCCUAAGAAGAAAACUCCUAGUGCAUCAAAUGAACAUAGCUUUUCAUUUAAAACCUUUGAUGCAUCAUAUGUUUUGACUAACAAAUCCGGCAAGGUCGUUGCCAAGUAUGUUGGGGGCAAACACAAGAGCUCCAAAACUUGUGUUUGGAUUCCCAAAGUUCUUGUUUCUAAUGCCAAAGGACCCAAAACCGUUUGGGUACCUAAAGUCAAGAACUAAACUUGUUUUGUAGGUUUAUGCAUCCGGGGGCUCAAGUUGGAUAAUCAACAGCGGGUGCAUGUCGGUGUUUUGGGUCCGACCGCACACCCGGGGUUGCCCCUCAAGGUGUUUUUAGGAGUAGGACGGUGUCGACGACUGUAGCAAAAUGGUUUGUGCCAAUUGCACGAGGGACAGUGGACAAGAUUUACAGGUUCGGGCCGCUUAGAGAUGCGUAACACCCUACGUCCUGGUGAGUAUGCUGAGUGAAUGAGGUUACAAGAGAGCUCUCUGAAUUGAGAAUGCAGAGAGUUGAAAUGGGUGGCUAAGUAAUAGGGUCGAUCGAUCUGAAGGGGUGCCCCCUAGGCCUUAUAUACUCGACCGUGGGGCAAUACACGUGGAUAUGAUAACAAUGUGUAGCUAAAAGAUAGUGAACUGUUUGAGUUUAUCUCCCUGUAGUUCUGCCGACUUAUCCUCGCAUGGCUCCGUUGCAUGGGGGCUCCAGCGCGGGAAAGUCGGAUCUCUGUUGUGGUCGCUCGCUCGACGUUGUGGGCCGUCCGGGUUUGCACCAAUCCGGCCUCAUGUCGAUCUGCUUUGCUGGUUGUCCCUCCUCAGGCCCACGAAAGAAUGACCUUAUGAUUUAUUGGGCCCUUGGGCCUUUCGUGAGGUCUUUUACUCUUUUAGUGGACCCAGGGGAUAUCUGUCCCCCACAAGCCCCCGAUCUUUGGGUUAAUUUAGAGGUAAUCAGCCCGAAGAUCCCAGGUCCAGCUUGCAGGCGAUUUGAAGAAAACGACUUCUUACUGUUUCCUCCUGCUUUGAUCACUCGUAAACCGAAGCUUUGUUUCGUGCUUGUGCCUUAGAGGUCGGCAUUUCGUUUUGUAGGACCUCGAACUUCAUUGGGUGCACCGGAGGUCCACCCAAUGGGGGUAGCCCCCGAGCUUCGAGUAGAUUUUUAGAAAAUAAUCUACUCGAAGGUCUUCACCAGGAAUUAUUUCCAUUUUUACUCCUACGUUUUGGUUGAGGACCAGCCUUGUCUUUAAUCUUGCCCCAUGCCUUAGAAGUCGGUAUUAUCUUGGCUUGGAAUGAUGAUCCAUGGGGUGCACCGAAGGUGCACCCAAUGGGUGUAGCCCCCGACCUUCGAGUGGAUUUUUGAGGAUAAUCCAUUCGAAGGUCUUCCUUUUGUGUCUUUUUGCUGAAGAUUAUCCUUUCUGCUUGUAAAAAUCGGCAUGAUGCCAUCCGCAUUAUGCUUUGGAGGUCAGCAUUAUGUCAUCAAUAUUGUGCUUCAGAGGUCAGCAUGUAUUUUGUCUUUUGCAGCCGAGUUCGCAAUCCAUCCAUAUCUUGCUAGGUGGUGUAAUUUAUUUGCUCUGCGGUUGAUUGGACAUUUGAUGGACGUUCUCUGUCUAGUCUUCACGUCGCUUUUGUCGGCCAUAUUUUGUACUUCACUGGCUAUAUUUGUCUUUCCUCUGAUCCUUACUGAUAUCUCAUUUUUGUCUUGAGGUAUUCACUGCACGCCCUGUACAGAUGUGACCGUUUUGAAAAAUAUACUGAUAAUUCUUGGGCGUCCCCCCCAAUGGGUGUGGGCAAGGGACGGCUUGGUACGCUGAGUGUUUUAGCCGACCGCUUCUGAGUAGUAAUGUGAUGUGACGGCGGGUGUAAUCAUAUCCUCCGUGCUGUUGACUGGAGUCCCAAUGGGUGUUGUGUUGCGUGAAACGGCGUCAGCCGCCUGACGUGUCUUCAGACGGGUUGAAGUGCUUAUUGAAUGCUUUGCGACUGUUCAGUGACCGCAGUUGGAGGUGAGCGAUUGCCUUCUCCUUCUAUAAAUAAUGUCGUUGUCUCUCCGGCUUUUUCACAUCUCUUGCUGUUCUCUAUUGCUUGUCUUUCUUCUCUCCCUUUCGCUUCAACCAUGGGCAUGAACAACAAGCGCAAGCGUGAGCCGACUCCUCCAUCGGAGGAUUUUGGUGACUCGGAGUACUCAGAGGAGGAGUUCUCCUCUGAGUCUGAGGGGCUCCGGCUCCCAUCCCCCUGCGUGAGUCGUCUGACGACUCAAGCGACUCCAGGGGCUCGCGGCGGAGGUCUGGACGUACAUCCGGGCCGUCGAGCGCUCCGGGCUCGAGGGCUCGUAUGAGUCGGAGUACUCCUCGGAUGAGGAGGACUCGGACGGUGGUGGCGAGGACGAGGACGGCGACGACGACGACGACGACGAAGGCGGUGGCGGCGGUGACGGUGACGGCAGCGGCAGGGGCGGCGGCAGCGGCAGCAGGGGCGGCAGCGGCGGUGGCGGCAGCGGCAGAGGCAGCAACAGGGGCGGCAGCGGCGGCGGCAGCAACAGGGCCAGUGGCUAGAUGCCAAUGGUCUUUUAGGUGUUAGUAUAGUAUAGUUAGAAUAAUGUAGUAGUAUUUAGUAGUGUAGUAGUAGUAGCAGUAAUGUAAUAUAAUGUAGUAGUAGUAAUAGGGAAGUAUCAACUCAUAAUGAGUUGAUUUGUAAGUAUGGUAUCUUCCCUUUAAUGAUGAAAUGAAGUUAGUUUGUCUGUGAUGAUUGCUCUUCGAUAUUCAUAACUCAAAAGUUCUUGAAUCAUUUAUCUUCCCGCCUUUUUCGUGAAGUUGAUUCCUUUGAAACAGUAAAUGAAUAACUCGGGCAUCAUACUGAUGCUUUUAUAAGUAGCUGCCGAGCGAAUUGUAGAUGAUGUCAGAGUUUUACAGAUAAUUGCCGAGUAACUUGAAGACGACGUCGGCGCCUUAGAGGUAACUGUCGAGCGACUGAACACGAUGUCGGAAUUUUAGAGAUAACUGCCGAGUGACCUGAGGGCAACGUCAGCGUUUUAGAGGUAACGCCGAGCGACUUGAAGACGAUGUCAGCGUUUUAGAGGUGACACCGAGUGACUGGAGGGCAAAGUCAGCGUUUUAGAGGUAACGCCGAGCGGCUGGAGGGCGACGUCAGCGUUUUAGAGGUAACACCGAGUGACUGGAGGGCAACGUCAGCGUUUUAGAGGUAACGCCGAGCGACUUGAAGACGAUGUCAGCAUUUUAGAGGUAACGCCGAGUGACUGGGGGGCGACGUCAGUGUUUUAGAGGUAACGCCGAGCGACUGGAGGGCGACAUCAGCGUUUUAGAGGUAACGCCGAGCGACUUGAAGACGACGCCAGCGUUUUAGAGGUAACGCCGAGCGACUUGAGGACGACGUUAGCGUUUUAGAAGUAACGCCGAGUGAUAGCGGGCUGCGUGGGCCACUUUGAGGAUAAUAGCCGAGUGAUGAUGUGGCGCACCGGUGUUCUGGAAAUAACUACCGGGUGAUCACGUGGCACGCCGGUGUUUUGGAAAUAACCGCCGGGUGCUGACUGGGCGCUUUUUGAAACGGUAUCUGGCUCGGGAAUAUCCCAUAAGUGCUGCGCUUUUAGCCGCCUCUGCUUUCCGUGCCCUAGUUCUUGCUUUCUUGCUCCCGAAUCCUGUCUGCAAUUCGCCUCCCACUCUGCUCGCCGGUAGAAUCGAGAUGGCGCCCAUGAGGAAAGCCUCGAGUUCGUCCGCCGUGGUGAUUCCUCCAAUCGACCCCAACAGCCAGUUGCCUUUCGCAGGUAACCACAUGUCUGUCAUCUCUGAGCCCGAACUUCUCCACCUCGUGUCCAUCGGGGUUCUUCCUCUGAGGGAACUCUGUUCUUGGCGGAUUUGCCAUGGGGUUACUGUCCCAACCGAGGAUACCCAUGAGUCCGUGAUUUAUGCUCCUUUCCUUCUCCGCGGCCUCGGUCUUCCCAUUUCUCCCUUUUUCCGCGGCCUCCUUGAUUUCUACCAUCUUAACUUGACCCAUCUGAAUCCUAAUUCUAUCCUGCAAAUCUCCAUUUUCGUUCAUUUAUGCGAAGCCUUUCUUGGCGUGCUGCCACAUUUCGGGUUGUGGAAGUACUUGUAUCACUGUCGCCCUGGGAUGGUCGGGGGACAACAUCAGUUGGUUGGUGGUGCUAGCUUGGAGAUGCGCCGCGGGAGGAAGACUGAGUAUCUCGAAAUCCCUCUCAAAGACAGUAUCAAGGGAUGGCGCUUGGAGUGGUUCAUAGUUGAGAAUUAUGGAAACUCUCUCCCCCCUUGGUCAGGAAGACAGCCGGAUGUUCGCACCCCAAGCUGGACCGAGUCCCCCACAGAUCAGGAGGUAGCCGAGGCAGGUGCUUUGCUGGCUGAAGUUGGAUUGCUGAAGGAGAGGGGUCUGACUGCUGAGGCUGUUGCUGCUGAUUUUGUCUUCAAGAAUAUUCAGCCAUUGAAAGACAGGGUGUACCCGGCUUAUCUGUAUCGAGGCCUAGCCGACUCAACUCGGGUUACCAACAGAAGAAUUCCCUCUGCAGACUUGGUGAGCCGACUUGAGAUGAUCCUUAGAGGCAAAGUGUCAAAUGUUGGUGCCCCAGUGGCAUACUCGGCCUGGAACCUGCCUCCUCCCAAAGCCUUCACCCUUUUGUGUCGAAUCCACCUGUCACUGAUGGCAGUUUGGACCUUAGAGUGCGACCCUCUACUGAAGAAGUUAGUGCCUUGGUUGCCUCGCUCGGGGAGAUUCCUGAUGAUGAACGGCAGGUCCAUUUUGAGGUGCCCCUGAACCCUAGUGAUGCAGAGAUAAGCGCUAUGCUUGAUUUGCUGGCUGAGGACUCUUCUGACGCUGCUCUUGCUGGGGCAUUGGUAGUGGCGCCCCUCCCAGAGGCUGAUACAACCUUGGAUACUCAGAAGCCUGCCAGUACUCGCCCGAGGCGCCCUUGCCGAGCCAAUCAACCUGAUCCUUCUGCUGAUGAGCAGAAAAAGAAAAAGAGACGCCUCCGACGAGUAUCUAGUUUGGAUCGGGACGUUGGUGCCUCGGUUCCUGCUGUUGAAGAAGUGCCUGUGACUGAAUUUACUGAUGCUGACCCCAAUGGGUGUACCCAAUCCGCUGCUGAUCCCAAUGUGGGUGCUCCAUCUGUUGCUGAUCCCAAUGGGGGUGCUGUCUGUGUUGCUAAUGUGGACGACGAGGAGGAAGAAGAUGAAGUUCCUUUGACUCGGAAAAACAGUCGGUAGUUCAUCGCUAGCGGUGAAAGUAGUGGAGUUCCUUCUCCUGCUUUGUCUGCUCUCAUUGGUCUGCAAGAACUGUCCCUGGCCAACUUUGAUCAGACUCUUGAGGAUAUGGUUCUAGAGGAUUUGUUAUCGGAGCUGGUGGAUGAUGGUGUGAUGGAGGUUUGUGCUGAUGUGCUUGAUGCUGGGUUGACGUCAUCCCGUGCCUCGUCGACCUUGGAGCACGAUCUCGAGGGUCGGGAGACUGACUUGGAUCGUCCUGGUCCCAUGGAAGUAACUGAGGGCCCAUCAGCCUUAGAAGUGGCUACCGCAGAGAACUUAGACCCCAAGGAUGGUGUUGACACAUGCCCAGCCCCUGAGGAUGUCGCUGGGGAUGACUUGGUUCGGGUGGGAAGUGUAAGCCACUGCCCAGCCCCCGAGGGUGCUGCCGGGGAUGAUCCGGCUCAAGUGGGCAGUGCCAACUAUGACCCAGCCCCCGAGGGUGUCCGAGCGGGGUCUCCUUCCUGUACUUCCAUGGACGUUCAUGCGGGAUCGCCUCCACACUCCGGCUGUAUGGUGGUAGCCCAAGCCUUGGACUAGGGAGUCGCUUUAGAGGGCAGCGUCCCCGCUGACCGAGUGUUGAGCUCUGUUGAUGGCACCGAGCUGAUUCCUGCUGGUUUGUCGCAAGCUGCUUCGGGUGGUGGCCUUACGCCUGGUUAUCAAUUGAUCUCUCCUGAUUUGGGGAUCCCUUCGUUCUUUUCCAACCUCCAGGUACUGUGAUGUAUUUUAGCUUGGUUUUUACAUUUGCAUGAACUGCUGUCAUUACACUCAUCUGUUCUCCUCAUCAGGCUUUGGUGGAUGGGAUGGCUAGCCAGCUGAGGUUACAGGGUGCUUCUGUCCCAGAAGUAGCUUCAUCUCUUGCAUGUUGGAAUCCAGUGUCACUUCAACGUCGUGUCUCUGAAUUGGAGGCGACCAACGCUGGUUAGUGUUUUUUUGCUUCUUUUUGUCUUCACUGUAAACUGCUUUACAUUCUGACCCCUUUUUGUUUGAUUGUCUCCUGCUAGGAAUGACUCGGCAGAUUUCCACUCUUGAGGAAAAACAUUCCCGAGAUCAGGCUGAAUUGGUCCAGCGGUGCACUGACUUUGAGGAAAAGUACUCUCAGAGCCAGACUGAACUGGGUCAGGUCUCCGCUGCCUUAGAUGACGCCAAUGCACUGAGUUCUUCUCUUCACGCUCAGCUCAAUUCUGAAAAGGUGAUUUACGGAACUGUGUUUUGCCUUGUUGUGCUCCUAUUACUUGCUUGGUGUUUGAGGGAGUUGACUUUUGUUUGCAGGAAGAAAAAUGUAUCCUUGCUGCUUCUCGUGACAGUCUCGACAGAUUGUAUCGCGAUUCUAGCAACUCGCUGACCAUCCUGGAGAGGAGUCAUCGCUUCACCAUGGAAGAGUUAGACAACCAACGCUGUAAGCUGCAGGAAUCCACGGAUGAAGUGACCCGGCUCAAACAGUUGAUAUCAGCGAAGGACUCUACUAUCAAAGAACUCCGAGCUUCCAAGAAAUCCAUCGCCUAAGAGUUAGAAACUGCUCGGCUGGCUGCCAAGGUCGUCGAAGAAACUUCUGUUACUCUCAGAGCCCAGCGCGAUAGGGCCAUGGACAAGGCUAUUCGAGCGGGGCGAAUCUUGAUGAGGAGACCCGGCGUGGUUGUUCCCGAAGAUAUAAGGGCUGAUGUGAGUGCUGCCCCUGAUUCUUCGAGUCGUCCUUCCUCAUCGAUUGCUCCUGAGAAAAAUAUCACAAAAUAGAGAAACAUUUUGCGUGCUUUGAGCGCGCGGUUAGCAUGGUCAGACAUUUGUUAGAGGACGUCAUUUCAGUACUUAAACGACAUUGUUAUUCUCGUAUUGUUUCCGAAUUCAUCAGUUCGUAAAUUUGCAGUAGUAAAAUGAUGUGCGAUGGUUUUGAAAUUUGUUUGCGGGAUAUAGAAGUCAUCCUUAUAUGAGUAAUUGUAAUCACGUCAGAUCUCCUUAAGUUGCUGCUGACUUAAGUCGAUUGCUUUUGUUAAUAGGGCGUAGUGGUCACCCUGAAUUGCGUAGGCGUGAGCAUGUUGCACCGCCUUAAGUCGUUGCCGACUUAAGCCGAUUGCUCCGUUAGCAGGGCAUAGUGGUCACCCCGAGUUAAGUAUGCGCGAGCAUGUUGCACCGCCUUAAGUCGUUGCCGACUUAAGCCGAUUGCUCCGUUAGCAGGGCAUAGUGGUCACCCCGAGUUAAGUAAGCAUGAGCAUGUUGCACCGCCUUAAGUCGUUGCCGACUUAAGCCGAUUGCUCCGUUGGCAGGGCAUAGUGGUCACCCCGAGUUAAGUAAGCGUGAGCGUGUUGCACCGCCUUAAGUCAUUGCCGACUUAAGCUGAUUGCUCCGUUAGCAGGGCAUAGUGGUCACCCCGAGUUAAGUAAGCGUGAGCAUGUUGCACCGCCUUAAGUCGUUGCCGACUUAAGCCGAUUGCUCCGUUAGCAGGGCAUAGUGGUCACCCCAAGUUAAGUAAGCGCGAGCAUGUUGCACCGCCUUAAGUCGUUGCCGACUUAAGCCGAUUGCUCCGUUAGCAGGGCAUAGUGGUCACCCCGAGUUAAGUAAGCGUGAGCAUGUUGCACCGCCUUAAGUCGUUGCCGACUUAAGCCGAUUGCUCCGUUGGCAGGGCAUAGUGGUCACCCCGAGUUAAGUAAGAAUGUAAGUCAAUCGUGAACAAACUGAGUAUCUUUGAAACCCCUUUUUUAUUGAUGACAUAUUUCCACUUUACAGAGUACAUCGUCGUCCCGAUAGCUUUUGAAAUACAGCUAGGGAUAAAACUUCCUGAGGUGUUCUAUGUUCCAGGAGUUCCCGACUUCUGUGCCAUCCAUCUGAGUGAGACGAUAUGAUCCUGGCCGAGUGACUUCUGCUACUAUGAAGGGUCCUUCCCAUAAGGGUGAUAACUUGUGCCGUCCCUCCCCCGUUAGAAUUCGGCGGAGGACGAGAUCUCCUACUGAGAAGGAUCGUUGUCGCACAGCCUUGUCGUGAUAGCGUCUUAGAGUCUGCUGGUACCGUGCUGAUUGGAUUACCGCAUUCAGCCGUUCUUCUUCAAGUAUAUCAAUGUCCUCCAGCCUGGUGGCCUCGACUUCUGCUAUGUUUUCGAAGAUCAACCUUGGCACCCCGAACUUGAGAUCGGCGGGUAGCACUGCCUCCGACCCAUAGACCAUGAAGAAAGGAGUGUUUCCAUGCAGAGCUCGGCUAGGUUGGGUUCUUAGGCUCCAAACGACAUAGGGCAAUUCCCUUAUCCACUUUCCUGCGAAUUUUUCAUUCUUAUCGAAGACCUUUUUCCUGAGUGCCUCCAGUAUCAUCCCGUUGGCUCGCUCAACCUGCCCGUUGGCUCUUGGAUGUGCUACAGAUGCAUACUUGAUCUGAAUGCUUUUUUGCUCGCAGAAGUCGAAGAACUCUGAACUUGUGAAGUUGGAUCCUAGGUCAGUUAUGAUGCUGUUUGGUAUCCCGAAUCUGAAUAUUAUGUCUUGUAUGAAUUCCACGGCCUUAGCUGAGGUUAAAGAAGCAAUGGACUUGAACUCUAUCCAUUUAGUGAAUUUGUCGAUUGCUACCAAUACAUGAGUGUAUCCUCCUUGAGCUUUCUUGAAAGGUCCAAUCAUAUCCAGUCCCCAGCAUGCGAAAGGCCAAGUUACUGGUAUGGUCUGCAGUUGCUGUGCUGGCAGAUGUUGUUUUGACAAGUAUUGGCAAGCUUCGCACCUCUGAACUAACUCGGCUGCAUCACUCUUCGCUGUUGGCCAAUAGAAUCCUGACCUGAAGACCUUCCCGACUAGUGUUCUGGACGCUGCAUGUAUUCCGCAUUGCCCAGCAUGGACCUCCUUUAGAAGUCGCUUCCUAGUAGAUGGGAGAAUGCACCUCAUGAGGACGCCUGAUGCACCCCUUCUGUACAAUGUCUCCCCAAUGAGCGUGUAGUGAGCCGACUGUCUGGCAAUGCACUCGGCUGAAUUCUUGUCAUCUGGUUCCUCUUCAUUCUUUAUAUACUUGAUGAUUGGCCUUCUCCAGUCAUCAGAGUCUGACUCGGGUUGAUCUAUAAUAUUACACUCUUCUGUUUGAUCCAUUGAGAUGCUCGGUUGUAGUAUUUCUUGCACAAAGACUCCAGGUGGGACCUGAGUUCGACUGGAUCCUAGCUUGGACAACACAUCGACUACUGUGUUCCGAUCUCUUUCUACAUGAUGAAAUUCCAGGCCCUCAAAUUUAUCUUCCAGCUUUCGGACGGCAGUGCAGUAUUUUCCCAUUGAAUCGCUUGAAUAAUCCCACUCUUUGUUUAUCUGGCUAAUGACUACCAGAGAGUCUCUGUACACCAUCAAUCUCUUGAUGCCCAAUGAUAUGGCGAUGGUCAAUCCAUGGAUUAGAGCUUCAUACUCGGCUGCAUUGUUGGAGGCCGGAAAUAGCAACUGGAGGGCAUAUUUGAGGUGCUCGCCUCCAGGUGCGGUGAAGAGAAUUCCUGCUCCUGCUCCCUGCAAUUUCAGCGAGCCAUCAAAAUACAUUCGCCACACUUCUGCAGUCUCUGGGUUAUCUGGUACUUGCUAAUCAGUCCACUCUGAUACGAAAUCAAUCAGUGCUUGAGUUUUGAUGGCAGUACGAGGUCGGAAUUCGAUGUCAUCAGAUCCCAGCUCACAAGCCCACUUGGCUAUUCGGCCAAUGGCUUCCUUGUUGUGAAGAAUAUCCCCUAUCAGAUAACCAGUGACUACUAUGACUUUGUGGUCAUCAAAGUAGUGACGUAGCUUGCGGGCAGUUAGAAGUACUGCAUAUAAUAGCUUCUGAACUUGAGGAUACUUUUUCUUUGAGGGGCCUAGAACUUCACUAAUGAAGUAAACAAGAUGUUGCACUGGGUAGGCAUGUCCUUCUUCUGCUCGCUCGACUACCAACGCGGUGCUUACCACGUGAGUCGUGCAAGAGAUAUACAGUAGCAGAUCUUCAGCUGGUUGAGUUGACGUAGCUCGUCGGGGUGGCUUCAGUACUGGUGGUGUUGUCAAGAAUUUCUUCAGUGCAUCUAGAGCCUCCUGUGCCUCUGAAGUCCACUGAAACUUAUCCACCUUCUUGAGUAGCUUGUAAAAUGGUAAACCUUUUUCCCCCAGCCUGGAUAUAAAUCUGCUCAGAGCUGCCAUACAUCCAGUAAGUCGCUGAACCUUCUUUUGCUAUCGAGGUGCUUCCAUCUUCAUGAUAGCUUCAAUCUUAUCUGGAUUAGCCUCAAUUCCCCGGUGGUUGACAAUAAACCCGAGUAACUUUCUUGCUGGUACCCCGAAAACACAUUUUUCGGGAUUAAGCUUCCAUCUAUAUCGUCUCAGACUGUUGAAAACCAGCUGUAAGUCUUCGAUGAAGUUUUCCGAAUUCUCUGUUUUGAUUACCACAUCAUCUACGUAGGCCUCCACACGCUUGCCCCAGUGAUCGGCUAAGCACGUUUGAAUGGCUCUCUGAUAAGUCGCUCCAGCGUUUUUGAGGCCGAACGACAUGAAGGUAUAACAGAAAGCACCAAACGAAGUGAUGAACGCUGUUUUUCCUCAUCUUCCUUCGCCAAACUAAUCUGAUGGUAUUCGGAAUAGCAAUCCAAGAAAGACAGCACAGAACAUCCAGUGGUGGAGUCCACCACCUGAUCUAUCCUUGGGAGCCCGAAGGGAUCCUUCGGACAAUGUUUGUUGAGAUCAGUAUAGUCGACGCACAUGCGCCAAUCCACUUUAUUCUUUUUGAGUACAAGAACAGGGUUGGCUAACCACUCGGGGUGUAACACCUCUCUAAUAAAUCCAGCCACGACCAAGCGAGCUAACUCGGCGCGAAUGGUCUCUCUCUUGUCGGGCGUGAAACGACGUAGCUUUUGCCGAAUCGGCCUUGCCUGGGGAUAGACCUUCAGUUUGUGCUCGGCCAGUUCUCUUGGGACUCCCGACAUAUCCACAGGUUGCCAUGCGAAUACAUCUCGGUUAUCUUGCAGAAACUGGACGAGCGCGCUUUCCUAUUUGUCGUCCAGGCUGGAGCUGAUGAUGGCAGUCUUGCGUUCAUCAGCGAACCCCAGGUUGAUCCUCUUAGUUUCUUCAGUCGGCCGCAUAGAGGUCGCGGCCUGAGCUUCGUUUGUCGGUACUGCAAGGUCCUCCUAAGGCUUAGAGUUCGCCUGUGUUGAAGAAACCGUCGACGGCUUGGUGGUGAGGGUUGCUUGGAUGGCCACUCGGAAACACUCUGCGGCGCCUUGGAGGUCGGCGCGCACAGUUAUGAUUCCUUGCGGUCCUGGCAUCUUCAGUAUCAUGUACGUGUAAUGUGGAAUGGCCAUGAAUUUGGCCAAUCCCGGCCUCCCGAUGAUGGCGUUGUACCCGCAGUCGAAGUUCGCCACUUCGAACCUCAGGAACUCGGUUCUGUAGUUCUCCGGAGUUCCGAAGGUUACAGGCAUGUAGAUGUGGCCCAGCGGGUAUUCCCCUUCCGUCGGCACGAUGCCGAAGAAAGGAGUGUCCGACUCAUGGAGCUCUUUGAGGUGAACUCCCAAGCCUUGGAGUGUACGGGGGAAGGUGAUGUUGAUGCUGCUCCACCGUCCACUAGCACCUUCUUCACCCGGCUCUCUCGGAUCACCGGAUCGACGAGGAGCGGGUAUUUGCCUGGAUGGUCGAAGUUGAGCCAUUGAUCCUCCCGAGUGAAAGUGAUCGGGUGCUCCGACCACCGGUAUGGGGCGGGAGGACCGGUGGUCGCCACCAGUAUCUGGCGGUCGUUGAGCUUUUGUUGUCUUUUGUUCUCCUGCGACCCAUGUCCGCCGAAGAUGACGUUGACCUCCCUGUCAACGCGCGGGAAAGCUCCUCCUCCUCCCUCCUCCUGCUGAUGGGGUUGUCGUGGUUCAUCUGGUCCUCCCCUCGGCGGAGGAGGAGGUAGAGGUUGGAAGGGUCGGUCGUGGCCGACGGAGUGCUUGAAGUCCCGGCAGUUACGAAGAGUGUGACGCAUGUCCUUGUGGUACGGGCACUGGGCGUCGAGGAUGUCGUCCAGCGUGCGCUCGCCUCCGCGAGGUCCUCCUCGGGCGCGAGAGGCAGGUGGUCCGGUGGCGUGCACUUCUUCGCGAGGCCUCUUCUCCCAACGUUUGUCGGGUUGCUGGUUCGCGUCGCGUCGUGGUGCUGCCGGUGCGGGCUUUGCUCCUCCGAUGAGGUCCUGGGCCCGCUCGUCGGCGGUGAUGUAGAGGUCGGCUUCCCGGAACAGCUCCUCGGAGGUAGUCGGCGCCUUCUGUAAUAUGGCUCGGACGAAAGCCAAGUCAUUGGAUCCUCUGUAGAAGUCCUCGAUCACGGCCGCCUCCGUGACCUCGGGGAUACGAUUUCUCAUGGUCUGGAACCUUUUGAGGUACGACCGGAGAGUUUCGUCUCCCUGGCGCUUGAUGGAUUUGAGGUCCCACGGUUGCGUCGGUUUGUCGGAGAGGGACUGGAAAUUGGCGGUGAAGCGUCGACUGAAGUCGCCCCAGUUGUCGAUGCAGUGUCGGGGUAGAUGUCGCAGCCAUUGCAGCGCGUCUUGCCCAAGGACAAUGGGUAAGUACGCGGUCAUCACGUCUUCGGACGCCCGGCAGCCCGAGCAGCGGUGGUGUAGACGGCUAGCCAACCCCCUGGAUCCUGCUUAGGUUCAUAUUUGUCGACAUUGGAUACCUUGAAGUUGGGAGGCCAUUGGAUGGCCCUAAGGCGCGAAGUAAGAGCAGACACUCUGCAUGUGUCCUCCUGUCGUCGGGGAUGAUGUCUGUACCGGGGAGGGGAGUAGUUGUUGUGGUUCCUCGACCGUCCCCGGGUGGUACCGCCAGUUGAGGCCGUUGCCGACUCAGUUCUGGUGGCCUGGCUCCGAGCUGGGAUGCCAUGAUCCCUGUCGUACUCCUCCCGGCGGCGGAUCUCGUUCUCAUGCCGUCGUUCACGCGAAGCAUUGAUGGAGCUUCGCGCGUCUCGGCGACUGUUGAUGGCGUGUCGUAGAUCGUUCGGCGGGUGAGCAAGCGGUAGAAGAUGGUUGGCUGCCUGGGUGAACAAUCGUCGGUAGCCCUCGGCGUCGGGAGUCCGAGGGAGCCCAUCAGCUAUCCGAGCUAGUACUCCUCCAACUUCGCUCGGCGUGUUCAUGGCUCGGGCGAAGUCGAGGUUCAGGUUGCGCCCGAAGAAUGGAUUCUCCCGGCGUUGCCUUGCAUCUUGCUCGGCUUGUUCCUGAGCUCGAUGGCGAUCACGUCGUCGAGAGUUCCUUCGUUCUCUGAAGACGCGUUCCUCCGGAGUUUCUCCUAUCUCCGAGACCUCGUCCCGCGAGACAGGUUGCUCCGGACCCCGUUCUCCUGCCGCGUGAUGUCGUCGGACGUUCCGGCGUCGGUUCCUCCGUCGGCGGGAUUCUCGUUGAGGUGGUUCUUCUCCGGGUGCGGUCGGCUCGUCAUCGGAGACGGUGGGCGACUCCGCUCUCCCGAUGAAGAGGACGUCCGGAUAGAAUGGUGCUGCUGUCGUGGCAACCUUCUUUCCAUUCUCCUUUGAGGGCGGAGGAACGGAAAGAACAACUUGCUUCCCCUUGGUUUCCUUCUUCCUCGCGAUCUGUGUCCAUUCUUUUGUCGGGGAAGUAGACAGUGGAGUUCUCUGGGUCAGCGGACCCUCGGCCCCUGACUUUCCGGAGACGAUCUUUUUCCGGAGAGCUGGAGGUUGCGCUUCUCCGACAUUUUCGGAGUUUGUUGGAGGAGACUUCUUUUCCGGCGAAUCCGCAAUGCGGUGUAGAGUUCCCUCUUCAUCUGCUAUGGAUGAGAUUGUUCCGAAGCAGAAUACGGAUCCGGGACGGAGGGUGAUCUUGCUGUGGAAGGUGACGGCCAUUGAGCUAGCUUGGAUCGUCGACACACACCCUACCUGGCGCGCCAGCUGUCGGUGUUUUGGGUCCGACCGCACACCCGGGGUUGCCCCUCAAGGUGUUUUUAGGAGUAGGACGGUGUCGACGACUGUAGCAAAAUGGUUCGUGCCAAUUGCACGAGGGACAGUGGACAAGGUUUACAGGUUCGGGCCGCUUAGAGAUGCGUAACACCCUACGUCCUGGUGAGUAUGCUGAGUGAAUGAGGUUACAAGAGAGCUCUCUGAAUUGAGAAUGCAGAGAGUUGAAAUGGGUGGCUAAGUAAUAGGGUCGAUCGAUCUGAAGGGGUGCCCCCUAGGCCUUAUAUACUCGACCGUGGGGCAAUACACGUGGAUAUGAUAACAAUGUGUAGCUAAAAGAUAGUGAACUGUUUGAGUUUAUCUCCCUGUAGUUCUGCCGACUUAUCCUCGCAUGGCUCCGUUGCAUGGGGGCUCCAGCGCGGGAAAGUCGGAUCUCUGUUGUGGUCGCUCGCUCGACAUUGUGGGCCGUCCAGGUUUGCACCAAUCCGGCCUCAUGUCGAUCUGCUUUGCUGGUUGUCCCUCCUCAGGCCCACGAAAGAAUGACCUUACGAUUUAUUGGGCCCUUGGGCCUUUCGUGAGGUCUUUUACUCUUUUAGUGGACCCAGGGGAUAUUUGUCCCCCACAGUGCACAAACCACAUGACAGGGGAGAAGAAGAUGUUCUCCUCAUAUGAGAAAAAUCAAGAUCCCCAACGAGCUAUCAUAUUUGGGGAUGGAAAUCAAGGUUUGGUCAAAGGUUUGGGUAAAAUUGCUAUAUCCCCUGACCAUUCCAUUUCCAAUGUUUUUCUUGUAGAUUCUCUAGAUUACAAUUUGCUUUCCGUUUCGCAAUUAUGUCAAAUGGGCUACAACUGUCUAUUUACUGAUGUAGGUGUCACUGUCUUUAGAAGAAGUGAUGAUUCAAUAGCAUUUAAGGGAGUGUUAGAGGGUCAGCUAUACUUGGUAGAUUUUGAUAGAGCUGAACUCGACACUUGCUUAAUUGCUAAGACUAACAUAGGUUGGCUCUGGCACCGCCGACUAGCCCAUGUUGGGAUGAAGAAUCUUCAUAAGCUUCUAAAGGGAGAGCACAUUUUAGGAUUAACAAAUGUUCAUUUUGAGAAAGACAGGAUUUGUAGCGCAUGCCAAGCAGGGAAGCAAGUUGGUGUUCAUCAUCCGCAUAAGAACAUCAUGACGACUGAUAGACCACUGGAGCUCCUUCACAUGGACCUAUUCGGCCCGAUUGCUUACAUAAGCAUCGGCGGGAGUAAGUACUGUCUAGUUAUUGUGGAUGAUUAUUCUCGCUUCACUUGGGUAUUCUUUUUACAGGAAAAAUCUCAAACCCAAGAGACCUUAAAGGGAUUCUUGAGGAGGAGGGCAUCAAGCAUGAGUUCUCUUCUCCCUACACUCCACAACAAAAUGGUGUAGUGGAGAGGAAGAAUAGAACUCUAUUGGACAUGGCAAGAACCAUGCUUGAUGAGUACAAGACUUCGGAUCGGUUUUGGGCCGAGGCGGUCAACACCGCCUGCUACGCCAUCAACCGGUUGUAUCUACACCGAAUCCUCAAGAAGACAUCAUACGAACUCCUUACCGGUAAAAAGCCCAAUAUUUCAUAUUUUAGAGUCUUUGGUAGCAAAUGCUUUAUUCUUGUUAAAAGAGGUAGAAAAUCUAAAUUUGCUCCUAAAACUGUAGAAGGCUUUUUACUAGGAUAUGACUCAAACACAAGGGCAUAUAGAGUCUUUAACAAGUCCUCAGGACUUGUUGAAGUUUCUUGUGACGUUGUGUUUGAUGAGACUAACGACUCUCAAGUAGAGCAAGUUGAUCUUGAUGAGAUAGGGGAUGAAGAGGCUCCGUGCAUCGCGCUAAGGAACAUGUCCAUUGGGGAUGUGUGUCCUAAGGAAUCCGAAGAGCCUCCAAAUGCACAAGAUCGACCAUCCUCCUCCACGCAGGCAUCUCCACCAACUCAAAAUGAGGAUGAGGCUCAAGUUGAUGAAGGAGAAGAUCAAACAAAUGAGCCACCUCAAUAUGACAACAAUGAUCAAGGGGGAGAUGCAAAUGAUCAAGACAAGGAGGAUGAAGAGCCAAGGCAGCCACACCCAAGAGUCCACCAAGCAAUCCAACGAGAUCACCCCGUCGACACCAUCCUCGACGAUAUUCAUAAGGGGGUAACCACUAGAUCUCGUGUUGCUCAUUUUUGUGAACAUUACUCUUUUGUUUCCUCUAUUGAGCCACACAGGAUAGAGGAAGCACUUCAAGAUUCGGAUUGGGUGGUGGCAAUGCAAGAUGAGCUCAACAACUUCACUAGGAAUGAGGUAUGGCAUUUAGUUCCACGUCCUAAUCAAAAUGUUGUAGGAACCAAAUGGGUCUUCCGCAACAAGCAAGAUGAGCAUGGUGUGGUGACAAGGAACAAAGCUCGACUUGUGGCCAAGGGAUACUCCCAAGUCGAAGGUUUGGAUUUCGGUGAAACCUAUGCACCCGUAGCUAGGCUUGAGUCAAUUCGUAUAUUAUUAGCCUAUGCUACUUACCAUGGCUUUAAGCUUUAUCAAAUGGACGUGAAAAGUGUCUUCCUCAAUGGACCAAUCAAGGAAGAGGUAUAUGUUGAGGAACCUCCCGGCUUUGAAGAUAGUGAGUACCCUAACCAUGUUUAUAAACUCUCUAAGGCGCUUUAUGGGCUCAAGCAAGCCCCAAGAGCAUGGUAUGAAUGCCUUAGAGAUUUCCUUAUCGCUAAUGGCUUUAAAGUCGGAAAGGCUGAUCCUACUUUAUUCACUAAAACUCUUGAAAAUGACUUGUUUGUAUGCCAAAUUUAUGUUGAUGAUAUUAUAUUUGGGUCUACUAACGAGUCUACUUGUGAAGAGUUUAGUAGGAUCAUGACACAAAAAUUCGAGAUGUCUAUGAUGGGGGAGUUGAAGUACUUCUUAGGAUUUCAAGUGAAGCAUCUCCAAGAGGGCACCUUCAUCAGUCAAACAAAGUAUACUCAAGACAUUCUAAACAAGUUUGGGAUGAAGGACGCCAAACCCAUCAAGACACCCAUGGGAACCAAUGGGCAUCUCGACCUCGACACGGGAGGUAAAUUUGUCGAUCAAAAGGUAUACCGGUCGAUGAUUGGUUCUUUGCUAUAUUUAUGUGCAUCUUGACCGGAUAUUAUGCUUUCCGUAUGCAUGUGUGCAAGAUUCCAAGCCGACCCUAAGGAAGCUCACCUUACGGCCGUAAAACGAAUCUUGAGAUACUUAGUUUAUACUCCUAAGUUUGGGCUUUGGUAUCCUAGGGGAUCCACAUUUGAUUUGAUUGGUUAUUCGGAUGCCGAUUGGGCGGGUUGUAAAAUCAAUAGAAAGAGCACAUCGGGGACUUGCCAGUUCUUGGGAAGAUCCUUGGUGUCUUGGGCUUCAAAGAAGCAAAAUUCGGUCGCUCUUUCUACCGCCGAAGCCGAGUAUAUUGCCGCAGGCCAUUGUUGCGCGCAAUUGCUUUGGAUGAGGCAAACCCUGCGGGACUACGGUUACAAAUUAACCAAAGUCCCUUUGCUAUGUGAUAACGAGAGUGCAAUCAAAAUGGCCGAUAAUCCCAUCGAGCAUAGCCGCACUAAACACAUAGCCAUUCAGUAUCAUUUUAUUAGGGAUCACCAACAAAAGGGAGAUAUCGAGAUUUCAUACAUUAAUACUAAAGAUCAAUUAGCUGAUAUCUUUACCAAGCCUCUUGAUGAACAAACCUUUAACAAACUUAGGCAUGAGCUAAAUAUUCUUGAUUCUAGGAACUUCUUUUGUUGAUUUGCACACAUAACUCUUUUAUAUACCUUUGAUCAUGUCUCUUUCAUAUGCUAUGACUAAUGUGUUUUCAAGUCUAUUUUCAAACCAAGUCAUAGGUGUAUUGAAAGGAAAUUGGUGUCUUCGGCGAAGACAAAGGCUUCCACUCCGUAACUCAUCCCUCGUCGUCGCUCCGCACAACUCUCCAUCUUUGGGGGAGAGAGCAUCUCUCCUACUUUGGUAUAAUCUUCACUCAUAUUUUACUUUACCAAAGGGGAGAAAGUUACUUCAAGGGCUCUAAUGACUCCGUUUUUGGCGAUUCAUGCCAAAGGGGGAGAAAGCAUGAGCCCAAAGCAAAAGGACCGCACCACCACCUAAUUUUAAAACUAAGGAUUUUCAAUUGGUAAAUUUCAAAAAUGAUAUAUCAAAACCCUCUUGAACACUAAGAGGAGGAUUUCAUUUAGGGGGAGUUUUGUUUAGUCAAAAGAAAAGCAUUUGAAACAGGGGGAGAAUUUCAAAUCUUGAAAAAUGCUUCUCGAAAUCUUAUUCAUUUACCUUUGACUAUUUGCAAAAGGACUUUGAAAAGGAUUUACAAAAGAAUUUGCAAAAACAAAACAAGUGGUGCAUGCGUGGUCCAAAAUGUUAAAAAUAAAGAAACAAUCCAUGCAAGAAUUUAUAUUGGCACAAUUCUAAGUAACCUUUGCACUUACAAUUAUGCAAACUAGUUCAAAUAUGCACUUUUAUAUUUGCUUUGGUUUGUGUUGGCAUCAAUCACCAAAAAGGGGGAGAUUGAAAGGGAAUUAGGCUUACACCUAGUUCCUAAUUAAUUUUGGUGGUUGAAUUACCCAACACAAAUUAUUAGACUAACUAGUUUGCUCUAGAUUAUAUGUUCUAUAGGUGACAAAGGUUCAUCUACAACUAUACUAAAUUGACUGUCCAGAAUACCGUAGAUUAUUCCGGACAGGAGAAGCUUUUUGGAAAAACAGACCAAGCGCGGACCGUCCAGGCCCUUGCGGCGGAUCGUCCGCAACACCAGGAUGACCCUCGGACAGAACCAAUGCAAAAAUCCGAGUCUGCACUAUGGACCGUCCGGAGGAAAAGCGCGGACCGUCUGAAACCUCGCGCGGACCGUCUGACCUCAAGCGCGGACCGUCCGGUAGGCAAGGAAUCAAAAAACCCGAAGGUGACGGGUUCGGAAAAAUGAAUUAUAGCGGCCUCGCGGACCGUCCGGGGUGCACGACCGGACCGUCCACGACUGGCUUUUUCUGACAUCUGACGACACAUUAAAUGCAAUAUAGCCGUUGAUAUAGCCGUUACUGCUGACCGUUGCGUUUUCAGCCGUUGAUCUACAGGGGCGGACCGUCCGGACCAGGCGGGCGGACCGUCCGCGCUCAGCAGAAUGGAGUAACGGCUAGGAAGUGGUUGAUGGCUAUAAAUACAACCCCAACCACCUCCAUUCACUUCACCCAAACAUUCCAACCUUCAACAUUCAAUACAAGAGCUAGCAAUCCAUUCCAAGACACAUUCAAAGCCUCCAUCUCUCCAAGUUUCACAAUUGAGAAAAGAGAUCAUUAGUGAUUGGUGACUUGAGAGAGAAAGUGAUCCUUGUGUUAUUUAUCGCUCUUGUCGCUUGGCUUUUGCAAUCGUGCUUUCUUUGAUUCUUCAUUGCGAUCAAACUCACUUGUAAUUAAGGCAAGAGACACCAAUCUUGUGGUGGUCCUUGUGGGAACUUUGUGUUCCAAGUGAUUGAGAAGAAAAGCUCACUCGGUCCGAGGGACCGUUUUGAGAGAGGGAAAGGGUUGAAAGAGACCCGGCCUUUGUGGCCUCCUCAACGGGGAGUAGGUUUGCGAGAACCGAACCUCGGUAAAACAAAUCCGUGUGUCACACUUCUUAUUUGCUUGCGAUCUGUUUUCCACCCUCUCUCACGGACUCGAUUAUAUUUCUAACGCUAACCCGGCUUGUAGUUGUGAUUAACUUUGUAAAUUUCAGUUUCGCCCUAUUCACCCCCCUCUAGGCGACUUUCAGGAAGGAAUCAAGCACGAGUUCUCCGCUCCCUACACACCACAGCAAAACGGGGUGGUAGAGAGGAAGAACAGGACGCUCAUAGACAUGGCAAGGACGAUGCUUGGAGAGUUCAAGACGCCCGAGCGGUUUUGGUCGGAAGCCGUGAACACGGCUUGCCACGCCAUAAACCGGGUCUACCUUCAUCGCCUCCUCAAGAAGACGUCGUAUGAACUCCUAACCGGUAACAAACCCAAUGUUUCAUAUUUUCGUGUAUUUGGAAGUAAAUGUUAUAUUCUAGUGAAGAAAGGUAGGAAUUCCAAAUUUGCUCCCAAAGCUGUAGAAGGGUUUUUGUUAGGUUAUGACUCAAAUACAAAGGCGUAUAGAGUCUUCAACAAAUCUUCGGGUUUGGUUGAAGUCUCUAGCGACGUUGUAUUUGAUGAGACUAAUGGCUCUCCAAGAGAGCAAGUUGAUCUUGAUGAUGUAGAUGAAGAAGAUGUUCCAACGGCCGCAAUACGCACCAUAGCGAUUGGAGAUGUGCGACCACAGGAACAAAAGGGGCAAGAUCAACCUUCUUCCUCAACAAUGGUGCAUCCCCCAACUCAAACUGAUGAACAGGUUCAUCAAGAGGAGGUGUGUGAUCAAGGGGGGCACAAGAUAAUGAUGUUAUGGAGGAAGAAGCACCACAGGCCCCUCCAACUCAAGUCCGAGCAACGAUUCAAAGGAAUCAUCCCGUCGAUCAAAUAUUGGGUGAUAUAAGCAAGGGAGUAACUACUCGCUCUAGAUUAGCUAAUUUUUGUGAGCAUUACUCUUUUGUCUCUUCUAUUGAGCCUUUCAGGGUAGAAGAGGCCUUGCUAGAUCCGGACUGGGUGUUGGCCAUGCAGGAAGAGCUUAAUAACUUCAAGCGAAAUGAAGUUUGGACACUGGUGCCACGUCCUAAGCAAAAUGUUGUGGGAACCAAGUGGGUGUUCUGCAACAAACAGGACGAGCACAGGGUGGUGACAAGGAACAAGGCUAGACUUGUGGCAAAAGGUUAUGCCCAAGUUGCAGGUUUGGACUUUGAGGAGACUUUUUCUCCUGUGGCUAGGCUAGAGUCUAUUCGUAUUUUGUUAGCCUAUGCCGCUCACCAUUCUUUCAGGUUGUUCCAAAUGGAUGUGAAGAGCACUUUCCUCAACGGGCCAAUCAAGGAGGAGGUGUAUGAAGAGCAACCCCUGGCUUUGAAGAUGAACGGUACCCCGACCACGUGUGUAAGCUCUCUAAGGAGCUCUAUGGACUUAAGAAAGCCCCAAGAGCAUGGUAUAAAUGCCUUAGAGACUUUCUAAUUGCUAAUGCUUUCAAGGUUGGGAAAGCCGAUCCAACUUUAUUCACUAAGACUUGUGAUGGUGACUUAUUUGUGUGCCAAAUUUAUGUCGAUAACAUAAUAUUUGGUUCUACUAACCAAAAGUCUUGUGAAGAGUUUAGCAGGGUGAUGACUCAAAAAUUUGAGAUGUCAAUGAUGGGCGAUUUGAACUACUUCCUUGGGUUCCAAGUGAAGCAACUCAAGGACGGCACCUUCAUUUCCCAAACGAAGUACACGCAAGACUUGAUCAAGCGGUUUGGGAUGAAGGACGCCAAGCCCGCAAAGACUCCAAUGGGAACCGACAGACAUGUCGACCUCAACAAAGGAGGUAAGUCCGUUGAUCAAAAGGCAUACCGGUCUAUGAUAGGUUCUUUGCUUUAUUUAUGUGCUAGUAGACCGGAUAUUAUGCUAAGCGUAUGCAUGUGUGCUAGAUUUCAAUCCGACCCAAGGGAGUGUCACCUUGUGGCCGUUAAGCGAAUACUUAGAUAUUUAGUUGCUACGCCUUGCUUCGGGAUCUGGUAUCCAAAGGGAUCAACCUUUGACUUGAUUGGAUACUCAGACUCCGAUUAUGUUGGAUGCAAGGUUGAUAGGAAGAGUACAUCAGGGAUGUGCCAAUUCCUAGGAAGGUCCCUGGUGUCUUGGAGUUCUAAGAAACAAACUUUCGUUGCCCUAUCCACCGCUGAGGCCGAGUAUGUUGCCGCAGGACAGUGUUGCGCGCAACUACUUUGGAUGAGGCAAACCCUCAGGGACUUUGGCUAUAAUCUGAGCAAAGUCCCACUCCUAUGUGACAAUGAGAGUGCAAUCCGCAUGGCGGAUAAUUCUGUUGAACACAGCCGCACUAAGCACAUAGACAUCCAACAUCACUUUUUGAGAGAUCACCAGCAAAAGGGAGAUAUCGAAGUGUUUUAUGUUAGCACCGAGAACCAACUAGCCGAUAUCUUUACAAAGCCUUUAGAUGAGAAGACCUUUUGCAGGCUGCGUAGUGAGCUAAAUGUCUUAGAUUCGUGUAACUUGGAUUGAUCUAUAGCAUACAUGUGUUUUAUGCCUUUGAUCAUGUUCCUUUAUGCAUUUUGUUGCUUAUUUAUGGUGCUCAAGUUGUACCCAUGAUCCCCGGACCUCACAAGUCCAUUUGCAAGUGAUGUACUUAUUGAGGGGGAGGCAUGCUACAACUUGACACUUUAAGACUAACCGUGUGUUUAAGUUGACUUGUUUUAGUCUCAAAAGUGGAUUGAAAGGGAAAGGUGGACUUGGACUGUGAAAGACUUCCACUGCACUCCGAUGAGAGGGUAACUUAUUCCAAGUUCAUCUCCAUGAUCUUAUUGCCUUUUUACUCUUACUUGAAGAUUUUGGUGAGGCAAUGGGGUUUUAAAGGCCAAAAAUGAUCUCGUUUUGGUGCUUGAUGCCAAAGGGGGAGAAAUUAAGGCCUAAAGCAAAUGGAUCAGCUACCACUUGAGAAUUUUGAAAAUAGUAGAGUUAGAGCUUUUGUUUUGUCAAAAUACUCUUAUUGUCUCUUUAUGUCAAAAGUUGGUCUCUUGUGGGGAGAAUGUUUGAUUAUGGGAAAAGGGGGAGUUUUUGAAUACUUGAUCAAUUUCUCUUGGAACACCUCUCUUUAUGCCUCAACAAGUGUGUUUGACUUAGAGAUAGGAAAUUUAAGUUGAUUUGCAAAAACAAACCAAGUGGUGGCAAAGAAUGAUCCAAAUAUGCCAAAUUUGAAUCAAAACAAUUUUUUGUUCUCAUUUGUGUUGAUGUUGCACUUAUUCUAGUUGCUUUGUGUUGUGUUGGCAUAAAUCACCAAAAAGGGGGAUAUUGAAAGGGAAAUGUGCCCUUGGGCCAUUUCUAAGGAUUUUGGUGAUUACGUGUCCAACACAAAUGCCUUAAGUAUUAGUAAGUGCCAAAUGGUGGAUGAAGUGAAAAUCAACACAAAGGUAUGAUUCUAGACUUAGUACAUUGAUUUUUGUGUACUAACAUAUUUGUCUAAGUGCUAGAAUCAGAGAAAACACAAAAGGAAAAAGACUUGGCUGGAACAGCCAAGACUCUGCGCAGUCUAGGUGCACCGGACAGUGUCCGGUGCACCAGGCUUGAGUCUGGUCAACUGGCCGCUCUCGGGAAUUCGUCGGCGGCGUACGGCUAAAAUUCACCGGACUGUCCGGUGAGCCAACGGUCGACCGCGCAAUCCGCACGUGACGCGUGGCCGAGCCAACGGUCUGAAUGGGGCACCGGACUGUCCGGUGCGCACCGGACAGUGUCCGGUACGCCAACGGCUCCAAAUCUUCAAUGGUCGGCUGCGCCAUUUUUGGAAAGCAAUCUGCACCAGACACUGAAUAGUGCUUGUCCGAUGGCACACCGGACUGUCCGGUGCGACACCCGACAGAAGGCAAGAAUUGCCUUCCCUGAUUGCCUCCAACGGCUCCUAGCUGCCUUGGGGCUAUAAAAGGGACCCCUAGGCGCAUGGAGGAGAAAUAUACAAGCAUUCUUUGAUCAUCUCUAAGCACCAAGACUUCAUUCUAGCGCAUUUGAUUCCUUGUGAUAGCAAUUUGAGCUCCUCUUGAGUUGAGAACUCCGUGUGUGAACUUAGAGCUCAAGCUGUGACUAGUGUGCGUGUUUGUGCUGUUGAGACUUGUGUGUGUUGCUUUUCCCUCCCUUACAUUCGUGCUUGUGAUCAUCAUUUGUAAGGGCGAGAGGCUCCAAGUUGUGGAGAUUCCUCGCAAACGGGAUAUUGUGAAAGAAAGAAAAACACCGUGGUAUUCAAGUGGAUCUUUGGAUCACUUGAAAGGGGUUGAGUGCAACCCUCGUCCAUUAGGACGCCACAACGUGGAGUAGGCAAGUGUUGUACUUGGCCGAACCACGGGAUAAACCAUCGUGUCUCUUGUGUUUGUUCUCACUGUGACUAUUGUGUUUCACAAGAUCUCGGUCCUUAGCCACUUGAUUUCAUUGUACUAACACUUAAUCAAGUUUUGUGGCUUUAAGUUUUAAGUUUUUACAGGAUCACCUAUUCACCCCCCCCCCUCUAGGUGCUCUCAAGCGCGCCGAUGUUCACCGUCGUCCGAGCUUCACCCGGGUGAGAAACCCAUUGCAUCCCACCCUUUCUUAUCUUUUCCUUUCCUUUUCGAGCUCGUGAUCGUCGGUAGCUAUGUGCUGGUGAGCCGCCAUCCGCGCCACCGUGAAACCGCCUCACCACACCUCUACUGGCUUGGCGCGUUGCAUCAUAGUUAGUCACACAUGCCCUAAACUCCUCCCAUCUCUGCGUGCGAGCGCAGUGCACCCUAUGCUGCCACGCAAACGACUUAGCUAUUCAACCAUCCAUGGCCGACGGUGACCCGGUCGAACUCCCAUCGCGCCGACACUAACGUGUGGCCAAACGCCCAACCCCAUGCCCAAAGCCCCUCCUCUUAGACCCCAUGUAACCUUGUCGGCAGACCGUCUAAAUGUCACCUAGAGGGGUGCAUAGGGGAAAGCUAAAAUUUAUAACUUCAAACACAAUGUUCGACCCCGGUUAGGUGUUAGAACGAGAAUAAUAACGAUCAGGGUGAGCGAGAGAGAGAGUUCUUCUUGCACAAGUUGCUCAAAUGAUUGUGGAUUACUCGGGGAGCAACUUAGUUGAUAUGGAAUCAAGCGCAAGCAAGAGAACUAGAGAGAGGAGGGAGAGGAAGAAUCAAAUCGCAAAUGACGGUCAAACACAAAUAACCUACUUCCCAUUGAGAAGUCCAUAAAGGAUGGGUCCCUUUCAACUCUUUCCCUCUCUCAAACAGUCACAGAGACCCAUUGAGUUUUCUUCUCUUCUUGGGGACACCAAGUCCUGCAAGGACCUCCACACAAAGAAACAGAGUCUCUUGCUUAACUAUACAACUUGUGAGAAUGGGAGUGAGAGCGAGAGCGAAAUUGAAAACCCAAAAAAAGAGCACAAGAGAUUGCAACACUCAAGAACACAAGCACUAAGUCUCUCUUCACUCAAAUCAGUCGAAUGUGCGCUUGUGUAGCUUUGAAUGCAUAAGAGUUGUUGCGCUUGAGGCAUGGUUGUUUGGUGUAGCCCCCAACCACCCAAAUAGCCGUUGGAGGUGAGUGGAGAAAACUACACAGUCGAGUGGCACACCGGACCUCCAAUAGUACCGAUCUGGUGCACCACCAGACCCCUGUCAUACUGCUACAACAGGUAGCCAUUCUGACGGGUGAUUGGAAAAGUAAUUGGUCUGAUGGCACACCAGACCUAGCCACAUCAAAUCUAACCAUUGAGAUAUGAAAGUAGCUAUUGGACCCAGAUGGUCUGGUGCAUCACUAGUCCGGUCCGGAUAGUCAGCCUCUGAAGUGCCUUUUUUACAUCCUCUCCGUGUAACCGAUCCAGAUAGGCACUAGACCGGUCCAGCAUGCCAGCUGGUAAAAACUGAGUCUCGACCUUCUCCGUGUAGACGGUCUGGUGCACCAUCGGACCGAUCUCGUACGCCAGACAACAACCCAGAUUUUAUAAACUUGUCCAAUUCUUCUUCAAAUGAAUUUUAAUGGUCUUGAGUAUAUUCAUAUGACUUAGACAAACAUAUCUAGAUGCAAUCCAACUUGUCUAAGUCACAGAACUUGGACAUUUCAAUUUCUCUAACUCAUAUUCCUGAUUUUAGCUCGAACUUGCUUCAAAAGAGCUCCAAUAGAGAUUCAUUGAAACGGAUCUUUCUAACCAUUUUAGAUGAACCAAAUAUGUUCCUAGGGAUAUUUAGAACUUAUCCAAAGUAUAGAACUAGUGCUAGUUCGACCAUUUGAAGUUUUACCCAUUUUGACUAGAGUUGAGCUGAUUCUGACUUAGAAACUGAAUUAUUGAACAUGUGAACCUGUGAAUCAAAGAUUAGGCAAACUAGUUAGUCUAAAAGGUUGUGAUGGUCAUCAAGUACCAAAAUCAAUUAGAGGAAAUGGUUUAAGGCCAUUUCCAUUUCAACGUUGUGUUGGCCUGAGCACCCACUGCAUGCUCAUGUGUCGCAAGUGUCGAGACGUUAGAGAAGACCCUCAUGGGACCCACCUGCGUGCUUCCCUUCAUGCCUGUACCCCCUCCUGGCCAUGUGUUGUCGCUCGAUGGGCCGCACAGACAACCCUACAGGCUGGAGUCAUCGCACCAAAUCCCGCUGCAGGCACACAAGAUCCAAUCGGAUCUUCUGUGACCUAGCCCCGUGGCCUUGUGUGUGGUCGGGUCGCAACCACUCAGAAUCGCAGUCAUCUCGGGACUUCUUGAUAGUCGCCUAGAUGGGAUGAUGAAUAGGUGAAAUCUCAAAUUUAAUCACCUCAAAAAAACUUGAUCUCAAAUUAGUUGGUUAGAGCAAGAGGUAAAGUAAUCGGAGUUAUGGAUAUAAGUUAUUCAAUCAUGUUGCUCUAAUGAAUGCAGAAUAGACUUGGGAGCAACACAAGAUGAUUAUAAUGGAAAUCAAUGCAAGAGAUCAUUUGGUUAUCUUCAAGAGCAUUCAUAUGACUUAGAAAAACAUAUUUGGAGUCUAUCCAACAAGUCUAAGUCAUAGUUCUUCAUUUUUUAUUUCUCCAACUUAGAUUCUCAUUUUAGCUCAAACUUAGCUCCAAUACACUUUUUUCCAAAAUCUGAACUUUUCAAUCCCUCUAAAAGGUGCUCAAAUACAUUCCUAGGGGCAUUUAUAACUUAUCCAAACAUAUGAACUACUCAUAGUUUAUCUUAUCCUUAGUAUGCCCUUUCUAGCCUUGUUUUGAGAUAUUAUUCAUAUUGAAUUCUUCAAUUUCAUUCUUAUGAACCUCCAUACAUUCACUUAGCAAAGUAGUAGUACAUAAGGUUGUGAUGAUCAUCAAACACCAAAACCAAUAUAGAAACCGCUAAAAGCCCAUUUCCCUUUCACUUUUGCUCUGAGGCCCCUGUCCUUUCCCUAAAUUAAUUUUUUGUUCGCUGAGUCACAACAAAAAACACUGCAAUCCCCUGGAAUAUAUGGAUAAUUAGGUAUAGGUCCUUGGAAUUUUGAAACCUCAUAACUUUUGCAUAAAAAGUCCAAAUUUUAUUGUUCAAGUUAGAGUAGCUUCAUAAUAAAUUUGCCUACAUGUUAACAGCAUUUUUCACCAUGUCUUGUACUCAAAUUAAUAGUUUAAUAUUGGUUUAACUAAGUUAAUUAAAACUAGUCUUUGAUGGAGUUUGAACCGAGGAUUUUUUAUCCUGCCUCACUGAAAUCAAUGUGAAUGAAAAUAAGGCCAACCAAGAUGUAUGGAUCCUAAUUAAAUAAUGUGAGUCCCUAGACGCCCCUAGUUUACUCACGAUUACUGCAAAUUAACUCCAUUCUCAAUAAUUUUUAACUAUAUGUUUAAGAUAUUGUGUAAAAUCAUUAAAUGGUAAAGUAGCCCAUGGUAUGCCUUCAAGGGCAUGACUAGUUUAACCCAAGAUAAUGAAAAUUUAUCUUUUUGUUCUUUGUAAAAUACAAACAUGGUCUUAAUGAUUUAUGUUGCCCAUAACUAAUAUGUCAAGAAAAUACAUUCUAAAUUAUCCUAGAGCCUAUAAACUCCACAUUUAAUGCAAAUCCUUUUCAUAAAUAUGGUCUACUUUGUUGCAUAUGGCUGGUGUAUUGUUCUUUUAUUAUCAAGUGUAUUGAAUGCAUGUUUGUAUCGUGUAGACCAUGAGCAAUUUGUGGUUUCCGAAGGUGGUACCAGAGAAGACCCUGAUCAACAAAUGGACAAAGGCAAGUGUCCUUUGACCUCCUUAUGUCCUAUUUCACGUAAGAACUUACUUUCCUGCAUAACAUGAUCAACAUUAGGAUGUCUAGUUCGUUGUUUUCCCGGUCCUUGUUUACCUUUGGGAAUGGGCAGUGAUGUUUAACUUUUAUGCUUGUGUUGAAAGGGAAAUAUGUCUUUGGGCUAUCUCUAAGUGUUUUGGUGAUUAACUUCCCAACAACUUUAUUGUUAUCAUUUAUUUAUGUAAGACACUUCCGUUAUGUAAUAAUGUUUGUGACAUUUAUCUCUAUACAUUUGGUCAUUAUAUGUGUUGUUUUUUGUGCACAUAUGAGACGCACCCGUGUUUACCCCUUAAAUCCGGGUGUGACACACGAUCUGCUGGUCAUAGCAUUCACUGCAUUUUUUCACACGCUGUAUAGUAAAUCCGUGGGUGUUUAUAGUAUACACAUGAGAGGGCUAUCUAUAGGUAGUUAGGUCAAUUUGGGGUAGGUCAAUGGUCGGACGACCACGUGUCUGUCCGGUUGGCCAUCUAUACAUCGAUUUUUGCUCAUCCAUAAUACGUUACUCCCUCCGUUUCUUUUUAUUAGUCGCUGGAUAGUGCAAUUUUGUACUAUCCAGCGACUAAUAAAAAGAAACGGAGGGAGUAUAUAGAGACUAAACUUUAGUUGGGUGUAAUCAACCACCUAUAUCUGACUUCACCUAUCUACGUGAGGGCUGAGGUGGAGUCCUUUCAACUCUUAGAUUCACCCAACACUUGUAUCCACGGUUGAUUUGUGUAUUUCUUGUGGUUCUUUUAUAGUCCCUUUCCCUUUAUAGUGAGCAGUUGCAGAAAGUUUAUACAUAAGGAUUUUCUAGUUGCACACGGUCCAAACUGUUUUAAAACCAGCGCGCACCAGACAAGAAGACCAGUACGUGGUACAGUGCGUGCGUCGCACACGGUCCGCUCGCGCGCCACGCCCACUUGGCCCGCCGCACCUGUGCCCGUGGCCCGGCCACGUCCCCUCCUCCGUCGUUUCCGCGGCCCGAUCGGCGACCUCACCACGUCCGCUGCCUGCACCCCACCCCCACCCAGCGGCAGCGUGUAGGAUAAGCCGCUUGUGGCCGCCUCGCCUUCCCCAUCACGACCACCACCCAAUCACCACGCCAGCUUAUAUGCCCCACCCGGCGCCACUCGACGUCUCACGGAGAAAAAGAAAGAGGAGCUCGGACAAGGCAGAGCGCCAUCGUUCGGUUUCCUUGCUGAAUUCCCGAUCGCUCGCUCGCUCGAAAAGAAAGAAGCUAGCUUUUAGCAUGGCGUCUCUGGCGUUCGGCAGCACCGUAGCGGCGGCCGUGGCGGCGACCUCGGGGAGGACGCGGCCGGCGCGCCGGUCCGUGCUGGUCGUGCCGCCCGCUGCCAGCAGGGGCGGCCCGGCGCCGGCCAAGGAGGAGAAGGGCCUCGGCGAGACCAUCUUCGGCUUCAUCUUCAAGAAGGACCAACUGGUGGAGACGGACCCGCUCCUCAACAAGGUCGGCGCCGCGCCGGCCGCCGCCUCCCGCGCCAAGACGACCGCCGGCAAGAAGGCUGCCGGCGGCGACGACAGCGGCAGCGGCGGGGGGUUCAACCUCGGCGGCCUCGGCGGGCUCUUCGCCAAGAAAAGCAGCUGAACGUGCCAAGUGUGGCGUGGUUUAUGGAUUGUCGAACUCAAAGCUGGAUUUGGCUUUUGAGGGGGAAAUGGUUGCGCAUAUAUAUUUGUGGACGUGUGGUGGUGUGACCAGUGAUCUUUGAUGUCAUAAUGUGAUAUACUCUACUUCCAGCUGCACCUGUGAUUUUUUUUCAGGACUUCGUUUUGCUCUCAAUCCAUAUGGAUUGGAUGAGAUUGAGUUAGUUUAAUUUUCAAACAAGUAAAAAUCUUUCAUAUUUUUUUCUAAUCUCGUCCAAUUCAAUAGGAAUAACCGAACCAAACCUAAUUAUGACAGGCCUAAGUAUGACAGAUGGGUUAUUAAAAUGGUUAAGCUACUUAGCUGAUCAUGUUUGAUUUAUGUCUGAUCUUACUUUACUCUUGGGUGCAAAUAAUAGCUUGGGAACCACUGAAUCUAGAUAUUGAUUGCCUUUGCUGUGCCAGUUUACAGUUUAGGAAUUAUGGACACUACUUAAUCCAGACAUGUGUAUAUAUCAGUCUCAGAUAAAUAGAUUUCUCUUUGAGAGAGACAAUAAACCCAACAACCCAACAGAAGUAUUGGUAAAAACCGAAUCAAUCGGUGAUGUGUUUUUUUUACCAUGAAUUCCUGAAGAGGGCCCGGUUGGCAACCAUGUCGGAAACACAAAUCCUUCCUUUAUUGUGUAGUAUAAUAAUCGUUCUGCUCAAUUUCUUGAUCAGAGUAGUGGAGUACUGGAGUUCCAGUUGCUGAUUGGCCUUGCAGAGUUCCUCCUGCCUUGGCAUUGUCAUGUUACAAAACUGAGGGCACACAACACAUGCUGUACCCUUUGAAUGGAUGGAAAGGAUGUAAAAUUUAUGAACUCUGGACAUAUCUCUGUACAGUUGAUAGGAACAAUGGUGAUAUCUCUGUACAGUUGAUAGGCAGAGCUGCCGCAGUAGCUCUUCAUGCUACAGCUUACAACCACACAGGGACAGGACAGUUAGGACAUCUUUGCCUUUGCAAAGAAUAUCCCAGCAAAAAGACCUGGUGACAACAUGCAGAUACGAGACACCGUUAGGGGUAACAUGGGUAAAAAGAAGGCCAUUAGAAAAAUGUCAUGGGCAAAAUAAACACUUACCAAAAACUAUGCUACAGAAAUUUUCGACGCUUACAGGGACAUUGAACAGCAAAAUACCAGCAACCGAAAUGGGUACCUUGUUCAGAGAACCAACGAGACUGAAAAAGAGAACAAAAUGAUAAGGACUUCUCUGCUCACAGGAGUGCAGAUCUCUUCUCUCUUUUUUUAUGCAAACAUUUUUGUACUGCCGUCUCACCUAUACGUUGUUGGACCAGUCUGAUGCAAAAACCACACUGAUGAGAAGCUGAUGGCUAGCCCUAGCAAACCACUAGCUGUUGCAACAACCCAGAACAUAGGCUCUCUGAUAACCUCACUGCAAAUCAAAUGAAAGUAAGAAGGCAACCAUUUGUGAUGAAGGCAACCAUUUGUGAUUAUGGACCUCACUGCAAAUCUUUUAUAUGUGCAAAGGAAGAAGGCAACCAUUUGUGAUGAUAAUUUGACUUUGUAUUAUUUAAUAAGUUGGUCGCAGGUUUUUUUUUUUGAAAGAUAGGCCAGGCAUACACCGGGUCUCGAGCCCAGGUUGCAUCGCUCUGAACUGGUGCACUCUACCAAACUCCAAACGAGCCAGAGCUCGUUCCCAAAAGCUGGUCGUAGAGAUUAAAGCAUCUUUUAUGAACAAAGGCAGAACGCUUUUUCAUGAAAGGAAGUUUAAGUUUAAUGUAGAGUAUGACGAAAUGAAGUUUAAUAUGUUUUGACUAAACUGGAAUCAACAGGUAAAACUUAAUGCAUAACAUGUCUACGAUCUGCUUUAAAAAAUAUGUCUAUGAUCAAUCAAAUCAAUAGAGUUAACUACUCUAAAAUGAUCAGGCCUGAAAAAACAAAAUAACAAAUACAUAAAUACAUUAACAAAUGACUCAGACCAAGUACUUUAGUCCACACCAUGCAAGUUUUUUUAAUUUAGAAAAGUAUGGUGAACAUGCAACAAGAUGAAAUUCUUACGCUUGAUAAACAUAUUCCCACUCAUUGAAGGCUAUAACCAAAAUGAGUGCGAAUGGAAUUGAGAGUGCAUUGUUGAGUAACACCAUAGAAACUUCAUUGAGGGAGCCAGAUUUUGUUGAUUGCUUAGCUGUAUCCAUCAAGCGCCUUAGUGUAAGCUGUUAUAAAAGGAUCGUGUAUUAGAGGUGCUAGGGACACAGCAGAACUAACAAUAUUGACCUCAUAAAAAGAAUGAAUAAGCUUGAAUUAAGCUUGAUAUUGUUCCGGUGUUGAUUAUGGACCUUAAAUGAACUAAUUCAUUAUACAAUGAAAAUCUAAAGAUUAAAUGCAUGACAGAAACCUCUGCACAGCAAUCCAUUGAGAUUGUAAAGAGAUUUACAAUAGUUUAUAGAUGUGUAAAACUAUUAGCACGAAUGAACUAACCGAGUAGCCUGCUGUUAGAAAGCAAUUCAGAAUUUGCCACGUGUAGCCAACUAGAUGGAAAGAGAGAUCUGUAAUCCCCCCACAUACAGCUGAUACAAUCUGCAAAGGAAGUGGAACAUAAACUGUUUACUGUUCAUGUAAAAAAAUCAUGCUGUUCUGGAGGUAAAUUCUUCGUGAAGGUCAAUACACUUUGAUAUAUGGAAGUCAAGCAGGAAUGAACCUACCAUCAGAAACAGUGCAGCCCAAACCUUCUUAUUCUGACCCUUCCUGAAUAUAUAUAUCUCUCCUAUAGCCGUUAUAAUAUUUGUCAUGUUCUUUAGUAUUGUCACCAUUGCGACGUUUAUGUACUUCAAACUGAAGAAUUGCAGAGACAGAGAAAAGUUGGAUUAAUCAAAAAUAGUACUGCAACUGCAAGCCUACCACACCAAUAAAGUUUACUUUAGAACUGAGACAACUACAACCUGAAAUAAAAAAAA